AGAUAAUGGGGUGGUGGUGGAGGAGGAGACUUGUAAACGGGAGGAGGUGGUGGUGGAGACUUGUACUUGUAAGGGUACUUGGGUGGUGAUGGCGGUGGAGGUGGUGGAGACUUGUACUUGUAAGGGUGCUUGGGUGGGGAUGGAGGUGGUGGUGGGGGAGACUUGUACUUGUAAGGAUGCUUUGGAGGUGAUGGUGGUGGUGGUGGUGGAGACUUGUACUUAUAAGGAUGCUUUGGUGGUGAUGGUGGUGGAGGUGGUGGGGACUUGUACUUGUAAGGGUGCUUGGGUGGUGAUGGUGGUGGAGGUGGUGGAGACUUGUACUUGUAAGGGUGCUUGGGUGGUGAUGGUGGUGGAGGUGGUGGAGACUUAUACUUGUAAACUGGAGAUGGUGGGGGUGGAGACUUGUACUUGUAAGGGUGCUUGGGUGGUGAUGGUGGUGGUGGUGGGGACUUGUACUUGUAAGGAUGCUUGGGUGGUGAUGGUGGUGGAGGUGGAGGAGACUUGUACUUGUAAGGAUGCUUGGGUGGUGAUGGUGGAGGAGGUGGUGGAGACUUAUAGUUGUAAACAGGAGUUGGUGGGGGAGGAGAUUUGUACUUGUAAGGCUUCUUGUGUGGUGGUGGUGGUGGAGAGUAGACCGGAGGAGGCGGUGGUGGAGACUUGUAAUGGUAAGGUGGUGGUGGGUACUUCUUAGGUGGUGGUGGAGGAGAAGAAUAAGUGUAAUCUGCUGAGGUUUCAAAAGGCAAAUUGAGAGACACUGCUAAAACUAAAAGAGUGAGAAAGAGAGAGGUCAUUGAUGACCCCAUUUUCCCCAUCCUUACUUCUAAAAAUGGGUUUAAUUUGGUUAUGCUCUUAGCAGCCCUCUUCACUCCCUUUAUAUAGACUUUGUUUUAAAGUUACAAUCAUGAUAAAAGUGUGAAGGUGGACCGAACCUUCAGCAGCAUUGAAAAAAGACGUUACGUUUAGGUUAUUAGCAUGGUAUGACAUAAUAAUUCUCUAUUCUCUUCCUUGUCGUUUCCCAUAAAUUUAAUUUAAAUAGUCCAUUUGCUAUAUUUAUAUUUCUGUUUCUCUAUUAAAUAUUUAUCAAAUUCAUUUCUCACUCCUUAUAGAAUAUGAAUAAUUAAUCAUUAAACUCGAUUUAGUAAAUACUUUAAAAAAUGAUUUAUCUUAUUUUUAUGCUUUAAUUAAGGCAUCAAAUCAUUAAUCCCAUUUGAUAUUAUGAAAAUUUAUCACUUAAUUGAUCAAAAUGUGAUUCUUGGCAGGAAAACAUAAUUUACUUUCCUUAAAAUGUAAUUUUUAUUGAGAGUUAUUUUUCCACUAACAAUAGAAAGUGAUUCUCUUUAUAAUUCGUGAAAAAAUUACUUUCACAUGUAAAUAAAAAUUGUUAGGAUAAAAUUAACUUUUCUUUUAUUUAUGUUAAGGUUACUAAUUAACUUAUUCAACUUUAAUAAAAGAUAAACAUAGUUGUAGCUUGUUUGUUGAUGUUAGUUUUUUGUCUUUACAACUUCAAACCAUUAUUCUAGUGUAAUUUUUUUUUCUUUCUAAAUAGUAGAUAAGUAUCUAUAUUUUAUUUUGCUAUAAGAAAAUUAUAUUUUUUAGCAUACAAAACUUAAGAUAACUUGUAGAAUCAAGUAGUUGUAUACCUAUUACUCUAGCAAUAAUAAUAUUGACAUUGUCUACUUUCAAAUUAAAAUUUCAAAUUAGUUCAUUGCCCAAUUUUCUCAUUAAAAAAAAUUAUAUAUAACAUGUCAACUUAACGAAACUUACAUGAAAUUUUGUAUGUGUUAAAAAUGAAAAAUAUGGCGGUUAUUAAAAAAGAUGUCAUACAUCUAAAUCAAACUACUAAUUUAAAAAUUAGUAUUGAGAUAAUUUCAAGCCAUAUAUGCAAUAUUUGAGUAUACUUGAACUUAUACAUACAAAUUAGUGAGGAUUAAAAUUUUGUAAAUUGUACAUCUUCACAAUCUUGCGUUAAUAUACAAUUUUUUUAAUGUAUUAAUAUAAUGUUUUAGAUCAAGACGUGAAAAAACAUAAUUCAAAUAUUUGUUAAUAGUAAAAAAUUAUUAAUAAAUAUUUAAUUCAAAAUUUAUUAAUAAUAAAAAUUAUUGAAAAAUAUUAAAUACGUUAAUAUUAUUUUUAUUUAAUAAUGAUACUUUUGUACAGUAAUCUUAUAUUCCCAAAUAAGUGUUAAAUGUGUCAAGAUUUUAAUCAAUACUUUCCGGUGAUUACCAAACGUUGUGAAGUAACUUCUUAAACAAUAAUAUUCUUAUCAAUCACAUUCCAUUAAAAUUUUAACAUAGAAAAGCACCAAAACGCCCCCUUAAAAUCGUGGUAAGUCUUGUUUGUCUAAAAUUUAAAUAUUUAUUUUAUUAUUUAAAAUAUAUUAAUUUUCUAAAAAAAAUCAUUAAUAUUUAUAUUUCUAAUUUUAAACAUUCUUUUGUUAAUUAAAUGAUAGUCUAAACGGUUAAACUCAAAUCGAAAGCAUUUUAUCUUAUAUUAGAUUAUAUGAAUCAUAUUAUGGUUGAAAGUAAAAUGUAUAAAAUCAAUACAAACAUCAAAUAUUAAACUUCCACUCAAUAGAUUUUAAAAUUUCUAAUUUUAUCACUAAUCUAUUUUAAGAUUUUUUUAAAAAAAAUCGUACUUUAGAUUAUCUAAUUUAAAAUUUUAUAAAAUUAUUAAAAAAUAUUCUUGUAAUAAAAAAAAUUUGUUUUAAAAUUUUUAAUUUUUUAUAUAACCAAUGAAUUUUUUACGUUUGUUUUAACUGGUUAUCUAAACAAAAUAAAAACUUAUUUAGUUUAAAUAAAGUGGUAAAUGUGAAAGCACCACAAAUCACAACUACAUUAGUUUUAUAAUUGGAUUAAUUUAAUCACCGGCAGAGGAAAUGUGUUAGUUCUAGCUACCAACAAUUCAUUUUAAUUCCUUUAAAAAUAUUAGAAAAAACCAAUUUGAUUUUUAAUAAUAGAUCUAAUUACUUAAAGGAACAUGGGUGAUGUGCACAUGGCAUACAAGCAUAAAAAAGAACAAAAAGAUUAAGUAUCUUUGCAAAAUAUCUCUCUCUGAAAUAAAUAAAACUUAAAAAAAAACAAUUUUAUUAUCAAAAUAAAAAGAAAAUAGUGUUUUUCUUCACAAAAAAAGAAAAGAAAAGAAAUACUAGUGUUUUUAAUUAAAAUAGAGUGAUCUGGGUAGAAUCUUUUACUUAAAUACUGACAUUGACUUUAUAAGCUAUUUUUUAUCAAAAGAAGAAAGAGAAAAGCAUCCGAUUGAAGAUGUGAAUUAUUAAGUUAAAAUUAAUCAUACAUGUAAAAUAUUAUUGUGCUUUUUUCUAGCCCUCCGAAAGACAUUAUGCUUUGAUUACAACAUUCUUCCUCAGAGAUGAGGUUUGAAGAUGAACUCGGAUGCAUUUAGAUUUUUACAAGACGAAAGUAAAUUAAAGGAUGUUAGUACUUGUAUUCCGAUACGCUUAUAAUACAGAAAGCAAGUAAUAUGUGACUGUACAUAAUGGCUAUGAGGCGAGGAUAUGAUACGAGAAGAUAGAGAUGAGAGAUUGCACUUAAGGGGUUAGCACCUCUUUUCUUUUUGUGUUUGGUCCCCAAAGCAUAUCUCUUAUUGGCUGAUGUUGCAAGGCGGUCCCAUAAGUUGGGCUAAAAGUGCUUGAUAGCUAGAAUUAAUAUUGUGGUAUAACAUAUGUCACCCCUAUAUUUGAAUAAGGUUACAAAGUGACUACUUGAAGAUUUAAAAAAGCAUGGAGAUAAUUUUGUUGCGAAAAUUAAAAGUAAGAGCUAAAUUGUUUGGCUUUAUUAGAGUAUAGACUCUGUUAGUCUAUUAUCAUUUUGUUAUAUAGGCUGGAAUAUUAUUAGUAAGCAGUUAGCAGCAGUUAGUCAUACAAGUAUAAAUUCUAUUCAUGUAUUGUUCAAAGAUAAGCUAAUAAUACCAGAAGAGAUUUAACAUGUUCAUUCUACUUUUUUUUGUUAUUCUUCAUAAUACAGUUGUUAACAUGGUCUCAGUCGCCAAAUUUCUUGGAGGUUGCUUCUAUUGUAGAUCCAUGGCCAAUUCCACUGAUUCUACCUUCGCUGGUCGUAGCAGUCCCUCAUUCUCAGUUCAUGUUUGGUUCAAUCGUUUCCUCGUCAUGGCACUGUGAAGUUAGAUGAAGGAAAUUUUGUACAAUGGCAACAGCAUAUCCAAUUGAUAAUUGAAGGAUAUGAACUCAUAAGAUUUUUAGAAGGGACGUUACCUGCUCCGCCUCGCUUUGUGUCAUCUCCGGAUGGAAACUUAGCUCUGACUCCCGAUGCAUCCCUGUUUGUUCAGCAAGAUAAGUUACUCGCUUAUUGGUUACUUUUUACGAUUAGUGCUCCUUUGUUUUCUUGUUUUACAACUGCUAAGACGGCGUGUGAGGUUUGGAGCACUGCGAAUUGCCUAUUUGCUGCUGCCACUAGAGCCAAGCUUUCGCGUAUUAAGCAUGAACUCCAGUCCAUCACGAAAGGCGUGAUGACUAUCAAAGAGUAUAUUGCUAAGAUUCAAAAUACUUGUGCGUUACUCGAGGAAUCUAGAUCAGUGGUUUUAAAGGCUGAAAAGGUAGAGAUCAUUCUUGCCGGCCUAUUGUCUGAUUAUGAUGUCGUUUUAACUCUGGCAUCGUUCUCAACUGAAACUUUUUCGUUAUAAAAGAUUGUUGAUAUGCUUCUGGAGUUCGAAAGCCAUCAGACUCAAGCGGUGAACGACGUACCUUUUCAUGCUCAUUUGGUAGAGGCCACUUCGGCGACAUCCGUGGAGGACUCCGUACGUGGUGGUCGUCCUCCUUCUGGUGCUCGUAGGCGCGACUUUCGAUCUCAGCUUCAGUGCCAGGACUAUGGUUGCUAUGGACAUUUGGUACAAUGCUGUUAUUAUCAGUUCAACCGCGACUACAGUGAUCUGUCUGUUUUGACCAUGGCGCGGGUUUCGCCUGUUCAUGCUGAUCACAAUUAGCAUAACGAUGUUUUUGGCGCAAGUGGUCUCUCGACUAGCUGGUUUUCAUCAACUUGUCCUGGUCCGGACCCGUUCGUGCCUGGACAGUAUGUCGAUUCUUUGGUGGUGACACCGGCGUAUUUCUCUUAUGGCUCAUCAUGGUGAGGGUGGCCACAUUUGCAAAACAAUGCCUCCCUUGUGCCAAGUUUGUUGAAUGUUAAGGUUUCUAACCCUUUUGCUCAUAAUUUUGACGAUGGGGCAGGCUAGGUGUUUGGGCUCGCUGUUGGACCAAGCUCAAAUUGUGGCCAAUUUGGUGGUCCUCACUUACCGCGGAGAAUGGGCCAGCACGUUAGGCCAUUUGCUAGUGUUCCUAGGCCGACUGGUUCAGGCCAAGAUUUUGGGCCAUAUGGAAUUCGUAGGCUAACCAGUGCUGGUCCUAACAUUGGACAGGGUUCACUUGGGCCAAAUGUUAAUUUUGUUAGACUUGAGGGCUCUUUUGGGCAUGGACAAGGACUUUGGCCCACCACUGGCAAUGUUUCAGUGCCAAAUAAUGGGUCAUGCGUUCCAUGGCGCACUAAACUGACGGCGCACAUUAUUGAUUGAUUUCUCACUGUGUGUUGGGUUGCCUCACAUUCUUGAUUUUCAUGUGUCUGAUAUUUUUACUACCUCUGGGUCCAAUGCUAACACGACUCCGUAUGGGUCUAAUUUUGAUAAUGAUAACUCUUACAUUCCUAUGCCUGUAGGGACCUUGUCCUGGUGUCUUAAUUCAGGGUCUAUACAUCAUGUCUAUCGAGAAGCCUCUACCUUGAACGAGUCUACGCCAUACUCAGGUACAUCUCCUCUCCUCAUGGAUGAUAUUACUCCUACAAAAAUAUCAUGUGUUGGAAACUCUAUCUUGCCUACGAAGACUAAGCUGUUUCAUCUAUCUAAUGUUUUGUGUGUGCCAAAUAUACGGAAGAAUCUGCUAUCUGUCUCUCAAUUUGCUAAUGACAAUAAUAUGGUCUUUGAAUUUCACCCGUCUUAUUGAGGACAUCCAGACUCAGGAAAUUUUGCUUCGGGGCCACACUCGUGAUGGGCUCUAUUAUUUUUCGUAGGUUACUCAUGUUCCGUCUGUCGUUGUUCCUUCUGUUCACAACACUGGGCUCCAGAGUCGCAAUGCCGGUGAUGAUGUUUUUACGUUAUGGCACUACAGACUUGGUCAUCCGUCUGCCUCGAUUGUUAAACUUGUUCUCGAUAAGUGUCAAGUUGUUUCAACUAAAAUGUACCUUGAAAAUAUUUGUAUUGCUUGUCAAAAGGGGAAGUCCCAUAAACUGUCUUUUUCAAGUUCUACUACUAAAUAUACGGAUUUGUUUGAAUUGGUUGUCUUUGACUUAUGUGGACUGGCAUCUGUUGUCUGUAGAAAUAAUCUGUAUCAUGUUUCGUUUAUCGACAUGUGUAGUUAUUUUACUUGGAUUUAUCUCAUUAAACGUAAUUCUAAGGAGGUUGAAUGUUUUCUUCAGUUUCAGAAAAUGGUCAAAACUCAGUUUGGGAAAGAUAUUAAAAAAAUUCAAAGUGAUUGGGGUGGUGAGUUUCUUGCCUUUACGUCAGUUCUGGCUAGUCAUGGGAUACUUCAUCACCUCUCCUGUCCAUAUACAUCCGAGUAGAACGAUGUAGCUGAACGAAAACAUCGACACAUUGUUGAGAUGAGUCUUAUUCUAUUGGCCAAAGCUAACCUAUCCAUGGAUUUCUGUGGUUUCGUAUUUUACAAUGCCAUUCAUCUCAUUAGUCUUCUACCGACCCUAGUUCUGAAAGGUCAGUCUCCAUAUCAGGUUCUUCAUGGUAGUGACCCUACAUAUGAUCAUUUACAAGUAUUUAAGUGUUGUUGAUUUUCGUACCUGCGUCUGUUUCUGCAACACAAGUUGGAUUUUCAUUCUCAGCCAUGCAUAUUUUUUAGGUAUAGUUCUCAACAUAAAGGCUAUCACUGCCUCACACCAAAUGGUAAGGUCAUUGUCUCUCGUCAUGUUGUGUUUGAUGAACGUUGGUUUUUCUUUUCUUCAAAUGCUGUGAACACCGUUCAGUUAAGUCCAUGUAUCUCUACAUAUGUUCCUAUUGUUCGGUCUUCAUCUUGCCGCCCCACGACAUCUUCGCUUGUUCGACCCACUGAGUCAUCGACUCUUGCUCCUAAUUGUAGUUCCACGCUGUCUGUUUCAGUUGACACUCCGGCUGAAUUAGGUUUUACUCAUGAGGUGCAUCGGCUCUCUACCUCAUCCCUUGAAUCUCGUCAAUGCGAUCCAACUACAAUUCCAUUGGCUGUUCCAUCUAUUUCUCUGGAAUACUCAUAACACUAUUACUCAGCUAGACCCAAAGCUCUGUCUGUUGAAAUUGUCAACUGUGAGUCGAUCACGAUUGAAGAGGCGCUCGCUAGUAAGGAAUGGCAAUUAGUUGUCCAAGCUGAGUUUGUUGCUAUAAUGGUUAACUCCACUUGGGAGCUUGUUCCCUUACCUCAUGGUCGAAAAGUGAUUAGGUGUAAGUGGCUUUUUAAAAUAAAAAAAUCCUGAUGGGACUAUCACUUGACGUAAGGCUCGGUUGGAAGCAAAGGGUUGUUCUCAGGUACUCAGGUGUGAUUUCAAGGAAACCUUUAGUUUGGUAGUUAAACCUGCUACUAUUAGAACCAUAUUAUCUGUUGCUAUCUCCAACGGUUGGCAAUUUGGUCAGGUAGAUGUGAACAAUGCUUUUUUAAAUGGUGAUCUUAUUGACGAAGUGUUCAUGCAGCAACCUCUAGGCUAUGUUCAGAUUGGUCAAAAUGGUGAGCCCUUGGUGUAUCAUUUGACAAAGGUGUUGUACAGAUUAAGACAAGCUCCACGUGCUUGGUUUGAUAAAUUGAAACGUUUUUUUGUUUCUAUUGGAUUUGCUUUAUCCAAAUCUGAUGUAUCCUUAUUUGUUCAAGUUAAUUCGAAUCCACUAUUUAUGUUUUAGUCUAUAUGGAUGAUAUUAUCGUUACUAGAAGUACGAUCGACGGUAUAAAUGGCUGUAUUCAAUAGUUACAUAAUGUGUUUCCCUUAAAGAUAUGGGAGAUCUUUACUACUUCUUAGGCAUUGAAGUCACUCGGUAGUCCACUGGGAGUCUCCAUUUGUGCCAACGCAAAUACAUUCGGGAUCUUCUUGACAGUAGUUUUUUAGCUAAUGCAAAGAGUGUUCACACACCGAUGGUUAGUUCUUUUACGUUGUUUAAAGAUGUGGGAGAUCGCCUCGUUGAUCCUACUGGAUAUAGAAGUCUUGUCGGUGUAUUACAAUAUGUGGUCUUGACUCUGCCUGAUAUUGCUUAUGCUAUAAAUCAUGUUUGUCAAUUCAUGCAUGCCCCUACUACAGUACAUUUGGUGGCUUUGAAAAGAAUCUUGCACUAUUUAUGUGACACUAUUAAUCAUGGGUUAAUUUUGUCUGUUCAACAUAUUGUCUUUAGUUGGCUAUGCUAAUGCCAACUGGGGACUGGAUUUUGAUGAUCGUAAAUCAACAACAAGCUAUUGUUUGUAUUUUGGGUAUACACCCAUCUCUUGGUGAUCUAAGAGACAACUCUACUGCGUGAGGCGAAGUAUUUUGGCCGCACCAUGGCUGAGGUGAAGUAUCGAAGUCUAGCAACAACUACCAGUGAUGUUACUUGGUUAGUCUCUCUACUAACAAAAUUACAGAUUCAUUCUAUAGAUCCACAUACUAUUUGGCGUGACAACUCUAAUGCAGUAGCGGUCAUUGCUAAUCCGGUCUGACACUCUAAAUUUAAACAUGCCAAGCUUGAUCUAUUUUUUGUUCGCGAAAAGGUCGCUAAUGGUUCUCUCGUUGUCGGUGAGAUUCUAGCAUGUGAUUAAGUUGCUGACAUUCUCACAAAACCACUGUUCGUCUCUACUUUUGCUAGGUUUCGUAGUCUGCUUCAAUUCUUACCUCUUGAGAAGCUGGGUGAAGCCAGGUGAAUAUUAGAGUAUAGACUCUGUUAGUCUGUUACCAUUUUGUUAUUCAGGCUGGAAUAUUGUUAGUAAGCAGUUAGUCAUAGCAGUUAGUCAUACAAUUAUAAAUUCUAUUCAUGUAUUGUUCAAAGGUAAGCUAAUAAUACCAAAAGAGAUUUAAUGUGCUCAUUCUACUUUCUUUGUUAUUCUUCAUAAUACAGUUGUUAACAUGCUUGAUAUCAUCUCUUAGAGAGAACGAGGAGAGAUAAGAGUAAGAGUAUGAGCCAACUAGGGAUAAGGCUCUACCAUAAUACCUUGGAUGCAAUUAAAGUAAGAGUAAGAGCCAACUUGUUUGGCUUGAUAGCAUCCCCUUAUAGAAAAGGCUCUACCGCAUGGCAUGAGAGCAAUAAAAGUAACACUCAAUUUCUUGGGUUGAUAGCAUCUCCUUAGGGAAAAGGGUUUACCAUGUGACAUGAAAGCAAUUAAAGUAAGAGUAAGAUCCAACUUGUUUGUCUUAAUAGCAUCAUUUAAGAGAAAUAUCCCAAUCAAUUUAUUCAAAUAUGUUAAUCAAAUAAUGCAAGUUACAAUGUUCUGUCAGUUUUUCCUUUAAUUGUAACUGGGUUAAAGUUGGUAGUUGUAACUGCUACUAAUAGAAUGGAUACGGUAGAAAUGGUUGCAAGCAACAUAAGCAAAGAUGACUUUAAUGUCUUUGUAUUGACCACGUGAGAACUAUAGAAUGCAGAGAAUAGUAUGGUGAUUGGCAACAGAAUGCUACUAACCUUGAGGAUAGUAGACAGGGAUGGAUCCACGGGGGUUGGGGGCGGUCCCCCCUUGGAAUUUUUAAAAUUUUAAAUUUUAUAUAUAAAUUAUCAUGUAUUUUAAAUUUGGUGUCCACAUUGUAUAGCAUUCACCCCCCUUUUCCAAAUUGCAUUUCAUAUCAUUUGCCCUCUUAAGCCAUAAGGUUAUACUUUAUAUUAACAAAGUAUUUUCCAUUUUUUAAUUAUAUAAAUUUAAUAAUAAUAAUAAUAAUCAAAUAUUAAUAUAUGAUUGGCAUUGAAAGACUAAACAUAAAGGUCCAGUUGAGACUUUAAAGCCAAAUUCCAUAAUUAAUUAAUUGAUUUGGCCCAUACCAGUACAUAUUAGGUUAGCGAAAUUCUUGUAUUUUGAUUUGUAUGUCUUGCUAAGGAAUUAUCUUCCUUUGGUAAGGUGUUGACACUGCCAAGAGAAAAAGAAAGGAUUUUGAUGUCGAGAUUGUGAGCAUAGAGUAAAAAAAAUACAAAUUAUCUUCCUCUUAGCUCCUUAUGGAAAAAACCUCUCGGUAAAUAUUUUUGCAUAAAUUAUGUUUUUUAUUAAUUUGACUUAGUUUUUUUCUUUUUUCCUAAUACAUUGUUGUUUAAUAUAUUCUUACAAUCAUCAGGUUUUUUGACUAAAUUAUGGUCAAUAAAAACAUCGAAUCUAUUUAAAAAAAAAGAGUGUCAGAAAGCAAUAAUGAUCAACCGGUUCCUCAACCUUCCAUUAUUAGUGAAGAAAAAUCAAAUAUCGGAUCUUCCAAAGCUCUUGAACAAAAUAUCAGGUCUUCUUAAGCCCAAGCUCCUAAAUGCGGUAUGGAGUCUUCCCCAACUCCUGAACGAGAUUGUAACAAUCCAUACCCAAUUCGAUCACCAAAUCCAAGUAGAGAGCGCCGCAACUUAAACCAUAUGAAUUGAAUAAUAAAUAUUUGAAAUUUAUUAAAGUAUCGAGUUCUUGGUGUAACCCUCAGUAUAACAAUACGAAACAAUUAAAUCAAUGAUACGCCAGGAAAAAAUGUUUUUAGGCAAAACACAUGGCGGAAGCCUUACAAAAUUUUAUAAGUUUAUAUAAAAUGUAAGAUGAGUUAAUCCCAUACAACAGUUUCAAGUGCAUCGUUGGCGGUUAAAAGAACAUUCAAAAACUAUUCGGCGUAUAUGCCAAUGAGACAAUCACGUGGAACAAGAUAUAGUAGCUUAAACACAUACAUCACUUACCACGUCAUCAUAACAUAUACUAACCAUAUAAACAAACUUAUCGAGCUGCGAACUAACAAGUUCACCCAAACAUCUAGGGUUAGCGAUAACUUAUUAGAAGAGCCCGCCAAACCCUAGAGUUCGCCAAAACCUGGAGUUCACCAAAUGGCGACUCCCAUAGAAUACGCCAAACACACAACCAAAAAUAAAUACUCUACUAAUUUACUCAUUUUAUAUUCUUAGCAUAAACAACUAUGCACCAAACAGUAACUUGAUACAUUAUCUUUCGGGCGAGUUGUUACAAUUCUCCCCCAUUUAGAAACUUUUGUCCUUGAAAUUCUUACCGGUGAAUAACUGAGGAUAUUGUUCUUUCAUCGAACUCUCUCUUUCCCAAAUGGCUUCUUUUGUAUUGUGAUUUAUCUAUAAUACAUUAACCAAAGGAAUUCUUUUACUUCUCAACUCUUUUACUUCCCUUGCUAAAAUACAAACAGGUUCUUCUUCAUAGGACAAGUUUUGCUCCACUUCCAGUGCUUUGACUUGUACCACAUAAUCUGGAUUGGAUUGAUAUUUUCUUAACAUAGAUAUAUUAAACACAUUAUGUAUAUUUGAUAACUCUGGUGGCAACACCAGUUUGUAUGCCACUGGACCAACUUAUUCCAAAAUCUCAUAUGGUUCUAUGAAAUGCAGACUUAAUUUCCCUUUUUGUUCAAACCUUAUGAUCUUCUUCCAAAGAGAAAACUUCAUAAAUGCAUUGUCACCCACUUCGAAAGAGAUUAUUUUCCUUUUUAGAUCAGCAUAAGCUUUCUGGCGAUCUUAAGUUACUUUCAGAUGAUUUCUAAUGAUAAAGACUUUCUCUUCUGUUUCUCAUACUAAAUCAAGACCAACUAUUUUCCUUUUACUGAGUCUCAUCCAAUAGGUAGGAGAUCUGCACCUUCGUCUAUACAAAGCUCCAAAUGGUAACAUUCCCAGACUGUCAUAAUAACUAUUAUUAUACGCAAACUCUAGCAAAGGAAGAUAUCUUUCUCAAUUCAUUCUAAAAUCUAUAAUACAACCUCUAAACAUGUCUUCUAGAACUUGAAAUACUCUUUCAAAUUGCUCAUCGAAUUAGGGAUGAAAGGUAGUACAGAAUCAUUAUUUCGUUCCCAACGAUUCUUGCAGUUGUCUCCAAAAUCUCAAUGUAAACAUUGGGUCUCGAUCUGAAACUAUGGAUGUUGGAAUCCCAUGAGGCGUACAACUUCAGAAACGUAGAGAUUAGCCAACUUUUCCAAUAAGUAAUUUGUGCGGACAAACAAGAUAUGGGCUAACUUAGUAAGUCGAUCUACAAUUACCUAGACUGAGUACUUCUUCGAAAGGAUGAGAGGGAGAGCCAAAACAAAAUCCAUGGUGAUCUUAUCCCACUUCCACAUAGAUAUCUCUAAAAGGUACAACUUGCCUAAGGGAACCUGAUGUUCUAUUUUAAUCUGCUGACAUGUCAAACAAAUGGAAAUGUACUUUGUUAUUUCUUUCUUCAUUUCAAGUCAGUAAUACAAACUUAUCAAAUUAUGAUACAUUUUAUGUAAAACUCUCAACCCAACUCGAAAUGUCGAGUCUGGAUCUCGGGUAUUACUAUACAUAAUACUUGGCAAAAUAUCAAAAUAGUUGACAAAUACUCUUUAUAGAAAACAUUUUCUUAUUAUUUUAACCAAAAGACUAAAUAUUUAAUAACAAGAGAAAAUAUUAAAAACAAAAAAAAAUUAUUACAUCAGACUUGGUACAACUCAUUAUAGUAUAAAAUUUUGUUAAAGACAUACUCUUGGGGCAUAACCCUAAUCUAAGCCACUUUUCCACUAUAUGCAUAAUAACCCACUUCGCCACUAUCUUGGCGUACUCCUAGCAUCGUCACUCCUAAUGCAUUCUCUACCCAUACACCUGAAAACAACAACAUUUUAAGCUUAAGAUAACUUAGUGACUUUUAUCCCAAAAAUACCUUGGCGAGUACUUUAUAUUAUUUGAAGAACAUUUGUGCGCCAUCUAUCCUUCUGAACCACCUUCUUCUGAAUUAAGUGGAUACUAUUAUAGAUUCAACUUUCACUUACACGCCAACUAUCAUACUCUUAACAAACUCACUUAUUCUAGAAUAGUUGUUCACAUAUAUUAAUCACUAAUUGAUACAUUCAUAUUUGGCGAAUACUUACGCAGAUCUGAAUACCAUCAAACUACUAAUCAAAUCAUACCUUGAUCCGAUACCAUACAAACUCAUACUGAUAAUGUACUACACAAAUUAUUCAAAUGAAUUUUCCACUACUUUGUUACAGGACCCCAGAUAAUCAUCAUAACAAUAACUCAAUUUUCAUAUGAUUUCAGAAGAAGAUAUAAUACAACCCAAAUACGGCAAAUUCCAGAUAACUCAGAUUCAACAACUGCUUAACACAUACGAACUCACAUUUAUAAUUUCUUAUGUCCCACAUAACUACGACUAUGUCUAUAUUCAACACUAACAAAUAAUCAUGACGGAUACCCUUCUUAUACAUAUAUGCAUUUCUUUUCUAGAAAUCUCUUAAGACUUACUCAAUUAUAUCACAUAUCUUAUUCAACCCUUAACUUUAGACAUAUCAUAACCCUAUCAUAUCAAUAUCUAUCACAAAAAAAAUCAGGAUUUAUCCAAAACUUACCAUAAAGGUAGAUAAUCAUAUUAUAUCAGACAAACUUAACUAAAUGUGCCACAAAGGCCAAACAAAAUAUGCCUUAAAGGCUUCAUACAAAAUCACGUGUUUACUAUCCCGACGGACUAUCACAAAAGGUGUCAUGGGUUUCUCCCACAUGGACUUAUACAUAAUUUCAUGUAUUGUGAUCUGCCAUUUUGAAUCAUACGUUAUCGAAGGAUACUCCAUAAGCAUACAUACAGACAUAUCUUGCCAUGUGUCUCAGCCACAUGGCUUAAACACACAUUCAUGUACUGUGAUAUGUCAAUCCAGUCUUACUCUUAUUAGAGCCUACACCAUGAGUGUUUUCAAAUCAUAUUAAGAUGUUGUAGGUCUCAACCUCAUAGUCUUACACUUGUUUUCAUAUCGUGACCUGCCAGUCUAGUUAGCAAUAUAAUUGCCUACCAGAGGCUUCAUAGAGGAACAUUUGCUUAGAUUCACUUACCUAGAUGAUCUGUAACACCCCUUACCCGAGACCGUUGUCAGAGUCGAGCACGAGGUAUUACUUAUCUUAUCUUACUAACUCGAAGCAUAAAAACUUGUUUUAAAAAUUAAUUUCACUAUUUAUAGCAAUUUGUCCAAUCGCGCAGCAGUUACUAAAUUAAUUAUAACUCGAGAUACGGAACUUGAAAUUUAACUCCGUAAAUUUUCCCUGAAACUAGACUCAUAUAUCUUCCUACCAUAAAAAUUUUAGGAUUUUUAGUUUAUCAAAUUAGUACAGUUUAUUAGUUAAAUUCUCCCCUGUUUCACAAAUCGACUGCCCUGACCUCUUAUCACUAAAAAUAAAAUGUAUCAUUGUGGGAUUUUCGUAUAGUGCUACCGCUUGCUUCUACAGAAAAUAGACUCAAUAAGGAAUCUAUACAUAUAAACUACAACUCAUAAAUAUUUUUUUAAAAUUUUUAAUGAUUUUAUAAACUCAAAACAGGGGUCACCAAAAACUGUUCUAACCCUGUCUCACCAAAAUUCACAUAUCUUAAAAUAUAAAUUCCUUUUGCUACACCGUUAUUUUUAUGUGAAAAUAGACUCAACAAGAUUUAUGUCAUUCAAUAUUUAAUUCAUUUUAUACUAUCCUAGGUGAUUUUUCAAAGUCACGUCACUGUUGCUGCCUGAAUUCUGUUUCUUUGCAAAAUUUUACCCUUUUAUGAUUUCCAUGCAUAGUUUAUCACUUAGACUCUUAUAACAACAAACACUUCCAUACUUAACCAUUUUAGCAACCAUUCAUCAUCAAAUACUUACACAUCAUUCUUUAGCAAGAUCAUAAAUACAAACAUUUAAAAUAACUAAAUCCCUUUACAUUCCAUACUCAACAUGGUUCAACAUAAAAAUACCGAGUUGCUGUGGUUGAUAGUGUGGACGAUCUCCGACUUCUUUAGGAUCCUUGAAGUAACCUUGCAAUACUAUAAGAGAAAGAGAAAUAAAAGACGUAAGCAUAAAGCUUAGUAAGUUUACUAGCAAAUAAAUAACAAUAUUUAACUAGAUAAUUAAACUCAAGUGUCUAUAUCUCUAGUUUACUAUUUAGUUAAUCUCAUUCUAGUUCUCUUGCUUGUUUACUUAGUAUACUUGUGUGCAUAACUUACUCCUCUCUUGCUGUAUAGUUGAAUAUCAAUUGAUAAUAUAAUAAGUUAUUAACUCUUAUAACUUACCUGAACUUGCCAUUUAUGUUUUUAACUGAACUUUCCUGAACAUGAUUCGUUAUUUAGCCCGUUGAGCUACAUUGGAACAAUAAGGAUACUCGGGUCUCUUCUGAUAAUAACAUGCCAAAGCCAUGUCCCAGACAUGGUCUUACAUGGGAUGUACUCAUGUCGGUGCCCAUUCCAUAUCCCAGACAUGGUCUUACGGGGGACCUCUCAUCUCGGUGCCAAUGCCAUGUCCCAGACAUGGUCUUACAUGGGACCUCUCAUCUCGGUGCCAACGCCAUGUCCCAGACAUGGUCUUACAUGGGACCUCUCAUCUCGGUGCCAACGCCAUGUCCCAGACAUGGUCUUACAUGGGACCUCUUUACCCAAAUGUCAUGACAUUCGUAUCCAGUACCAUCCUUACUAUUCAUGACAACCGAUAUAUAUAUAUACAUACUCACUAUUCACAAGGACUCGAACGAUUAUAUACUCAUCAACCACCUUAAAACAAUGUUCAUAAACUUAUCCAUUUCAUAUAAACAAAAGCAUAUAUAUUUAUAACCAAUGCAUAGAAUCACUUAAUUUAAACAGAUUCACUGGCACUUCACCUGAUAGGCUUAUAGUUUAAUUCAGUUCACCGGCACUUAGCCUACUAGGCUUGUAGCCUGAUUCAGUUCACCGGCACUUAGCCUGCUAGACGUAUAGUCCGAUUCAAUUCACCGGCAUUUAGCCUGCUAGACGUAUAGUCUGAUUCAAUUUACCGGCACUUAGCCUGCUAGACGUAUAGUCUGAAUAAUUUUACUGGUAAUAAAUCCGAUAGUAAUUUCUCCGUUGAAAUUGAAUUAUAUUCAAUUCUGCGUAACAAACAUGCACUUAAAACAUACUUGCAUAAUUCACAACAAUAAUUUCAGUCCAAAGAGCUGUAAUUCAUAUUCGAACUAUAUAUAUAUAAAUCCAUACAUAAAAAUUCAACUCAAAAUUUAUAACCUAUAUCUUUGAACCACAUAGGUACAUGAAAUUCAAACACCAAAAUCCAGCUCAAUAACUUCAUGAUUCAACCUAACAAAUUUAUGUAUAUAACUUUUUAUCUAAUUUCAAUACAAUAACUUAUACAUGUACGUAUAUACAUAUUCGAAUCUAACAUAUACAUAUAUAAUUUCAUACUUAAAUAUAUUCAAGACUUAUUCAUGAGUAUACAUAUAUAUUACAACUCACAUGUACAUAUAUAUACACAUUCAUACCUUUAACCAAGUCCAAGGCUUUAUACAUGUAUAUGCUUAUAUAUAUAUAUUCGGACCUUAUGUUUACAUAUAUAUAUUAUAUAAAUACCUUUGAUUAAAAACAAGUAUUUAUACAUAUAUAUAUUUUCGAACAUGAUACAUAUAUAUUUAUAUCAUUCAUACUUAAACAAAAUUCAAUCCAUAUACUUUCAAUUUCAGCUCACCAAAUUACUAUAGAUAUACAUGCAUAUAUACUGAUUUAAUAACCUCAAAUUGCUAAUAGACUUACCUCGGAUAUCAGCGGACACGAUCGAGUAUUCGAUUACUUUCGUUUUUCCCCGAUCCAAAUUCGUUUUCUUCGUUUUUUAUCUUAAUUAGACCUAGAGAUAGCCGAACCUUGUUGUUCUCUUUUCUUUUCUUUUCUUUUUCUUUUCUAUAUUCGGCCAAGAUGAAGAACAUGGCAUUUAAAAUUUGUUAUAUUAAACAUAUAUUAGCCUUAUUUUUAAUUUACUAUAUUAACCUUUACAUAUAUAUAACAUAUAUAAUAAGGUUACAUUAGUCCUUUGCCACCCACUAACUUACAUAGUGGACUAAUUGCAUAGUAAAACCUCUAAAUUAUAAAGACAACAAGAAUUAGGUCCUUUUAUAAUUAACCCCUAAAUUUUCAUUUUACGCGAUUAAGCCCUUUUAUUAAAUCGGACACUUAAACGACGAAAUUAAAACACGAAAAUUUCACACAAUCAAAUGCAUACAAAACAAUAUUAAUAAUAUUUUUCUAAUUCAAAUUUGUGGUCCCGAAACCAGUAUUCUGAUUAGGGUCAAAAACCGGGUUGUUACAACUCUCCCCCCUUAGGGAUUUUCGUCCCCGAAAAUCUUACCGGUGAAUAGGUUUGGAUAACGCUCUUUCAUUGUAUCUUCUAACUCCCAAGUUGCUUCUUCAACCCCAUGUUUAUGCCACAACACUUUAACUAACGGAAUUUUCUUAUUUCGUAAUUCUUUGAUCUCACGAGCCAGAAUGCUAAUCGGUUCUUCCUCAUAUGUCAUAUCAGAGUUAAUUUCAAUCUCCGUCGGACUAAUCACAUGUGAAGGAUCAGAUCGGUAUCUACGAAGCAUCGAAACAUGGAAUACGUUAUGAAUCUUUUCUAACUCAGGCAGUAACAUCAAUCUAUAAGCAACCAAUCCAACUCGCUCUAUAAUCUCAUACGGUCCAAUGAAUCUCGGACACAAUUUGCCUUUACGACCAAAUCUGAGUAUUUUCUUCCACGGUGAGACUUUUAAAAACACUUUAUCCCCGAUCUGAAAUUCUAUAUCCUUUCUUUUCAAAUUCGCAUAAGAUUUCUGACGAUCCGAUGCUGAUUUCAGACUGUCCCGAAUCACUUUCACUUUCUGUUCGGUCUCUUUAAUCAAAUCAACCCCGUGUAUCUUAUUUUCACUGAGCUCGGUCCAAUACAGUGGUGUACGACAUUUACAACCGUACAAAGCCUCAUAAGGUGCCAUUUUGAUACUAGAUUGAAAGCUAUUAUUAUAAGCAAAUUCAAUCAAAGGUAAGUAUCGUUCCCACGUACCUUCAAACUCGAGAAUGCAACAUCUCAACAUAUCCUCAAGUAUCUGAAUGAUUCAUUCAGAUUGACCAUCUGUCUGCGGAUCGAAAGCUGUGCUAAAAUGUAGUUUCGUACCUAAAGCAUCUUGUAGUUUCUUCCAAAAUCGCGAUGUGAAUCUCAGAUCUCUGUCUGAAACAAUAGAAAUAGGUACACCAUGCAACCUCACAAUUUGUGAAAUAUACAAUUCCGCAAGUUUAUCGAGCGAAAAAUCUGUACGAAUCGAAAUAAAAUGUGUCGAUUUUGUCAACCUAUCAACAAUAACCCAGAUUGCAUCUAUCUUGCUCGGUGUCAACGGUAAAUCGGAUACAAAAUCCAUCGUGACUCGAUCCCAUUUCCAUUGAGGUAUCAUGAUCGGCUGAAGCAACCCAGAUGGUACCUGAUGCUUGGCUUUAACUUGCUGACAAAUUAAACAUUUCGAAACAAAGUCAGAAAUGUCUCGUUUCAUACCUUGCCACCAAUAGUGCUGUUUCAGAUCGUUAUACAUUUUCGUGCUACCCGGAUGAACAGAAAAUCGACUACUAUGAGCUUCCUUCAAAAUCAUCUAAAUUAACUCUGAUUUUUUCGGAACACAUAAUCGGUUUCUAAAUCUCAAACAAUCCUCAGCAUCAACUAAAAACUCCGAAUCAAUAUUUAAGUCACAUUGAGCUCGUUUUGCAGUUAAAUCAUUAUCGACCUUUUGAGCUUCACAAAUCUGUUGUACAAAUAACGGUUUUGCUUUCAACUCAGCUACUAUCGCACCAUCAUCAGACAUAACCAUAUGUGCGUUCAUUGCACGCAAAGCAAACAGUGAUUUUCGACUUAGGGCAUCAGCAACAACAUUAGCCUUUCCCGGAUGAUAGUCAAUCACAAGCUCGUAUUCUUUCAGCAAUUCUAACCAUCGACGCUGUCUCAAAUUCAGAUAUUUCUGAGUCAUCAAAUAUUUCAGGCUUUUGGGAUCGGAAUAAACAUGACAUCUUUCACCAAACAGAUAGUGACGCCAUAUUUUUAACGCAAAUACAAUAGCGGCCAAUUCCAGAUCAUGUGUCGGAUAGUUUUUUUCAUGCGGCUUUAACUGUCUCAAGGCAUAGGCUACAACUUUGCCUUCCUACAUCAAAACACAACCCAAACCAUUUAAAGAUGCAUCACUAUAGAUAACAAACUCUUUACCCGAUUCGGGUUGAACUAAGACUGGAGCUUCGGUCAAAAGAACUUUCAACUGAUCAAAGUUUUUCUGACACUUUUCUGACCACUCGAACUUAACGUCUUUUUGUAGUAGCUUUGUCAUCGGGGUCGCAAUCAUAGAAAACCCUUUCACGAACCGUCUAUAAUAACCAGCGAGCCCCAGAAAGCUUCGAACAUCAGAGACAUUUCUCGGAGGUUUCCAAUCAAGUAUAGCUGAAAUUUUACCUGGAUCAACUCGAAUACCCGAUGCUGACACAACAUGGCCCAGAAAACUAACUUCACGUAACCAGAACUCGCAUUUACUGAACUUUGCAUACAACUGUUUAUCUCGCAAAGUUUGUAACACAAGUCUCAGAUGUUCAGUAUGCUCGGUUUCAUCACGAGAGUAGAUCAAAAUAUCAUCUAUAAAUACUACCACAAAUCGAUCCAGAUACUGUCUAAAAAUCUGAUUCAUCAAAUCCAUGAAAACAGCAGGUGCAUUAGUAAGUCCAAAAGGCAUAACCAAGAACUCAUAAUGUCCGUACCUCGUUCGGAAAGCUGUCUUUGGCACAUCAGAGUCUUUAACUCGCAACUGAUAGUAGCCUGAUCUCAGAUCUAUCUUCGAAAACACAGUAGCCCCUUUCAACUGAUCGAACAAAUCAUCAAUCCGUGGUAACGGAUACUUAUUCUUUAUAGUCACCUUAUUGAGUUGCCGGUAAUCAAUGCACAUUCUCAUUGUUCUGUCUUUCUUUUUCACAAAUAGAACUGGUGCACCCCAAGGAGAGAAACUCGGUCGUGUAAAACCUUUAUCAGUCAACUCUUGCAACUGUACUUUCAAUUCUUUUAAUUCGGUCGGUACCAUACGGUACGGAGCUAUCGAAAUUGGAGUUGUCCCUGGUACUAACUCAAUACCAAACUCUACCUCUCGAAUAGGUGGCAAACCCGGUAAUUCUUCGGGAAACACGUCUGAAUACUUACACACUACUGGCACAGAUUCAAUCUUCUUUUCGGUCACUUUACUAUCAAGAAAAAAUGCAAGGUAAUCUUCACAACCUUUUCUCACAUACUUCUGAGCCGACAUCGAGGAUAUUAUUGCUGGUAAACCAUUCAGAUCAUUAGAUUCAAUCCGAAUAAUCUCAUCAUUCUGACACCGUAGAUCAAUAGUUUUCCGUUUGCAGUUUACUAUAGCAUUAUGCAGAGUUAACCAAUCCAUACCCAGAAUUAUAUCAAACUCGUCAAAUGGUAGCAACAUCAAAUCAGCCAGAAAACAUAAAUCUCGAAUCAUCAACGGACAAUUCUUGCACACUUUGUCAACCAAAACACACCGGCCCAAGAGGUUCAAUACUUUAAUUACAAACUCAGUAGACUCAACAGGCAAAGUCUUACUGAAUACUAAAGUCUCACACACAUAAGAAUGAGUCGAACCAAGAUCAAUCAAUGCAAUAACAUUAGUAUCAUAAAGAGUGAAAGUACCAGUAAUAACAUCUGGAGAAGAAGCCUCCUCCCGAGCACGGAUGGCAUAUGCUCUGGCAAGUGCACGAGCCUCAGAUCGAACUGCCAUGUCCUUUGUUCCUCUCUGACUGCCACUUACAUUACUCAAUUGCCUCGGCGGUCUACCUCGUACAGGUACUUUACUCGGUCUGGUAUUCUACACAGUGUUUUGCUCAGCUACCAUCGGACACUCUCGAAUGAAAUGAUCCUUUGAACCGCACUUAAAGCAAGACCGAUCAUGUAAUCUGCAAUCUCCAGGAUGCCAUUUCCCACAAUGCUUGUACUCUGAUCUAUUUUGUCGAACACUACCAACGCUAGCAACUGAAGUAGCUCGUGAACUCACAGGGGGUCGAUCUCGAUCAUACUUAGGAAACCCUGCAGUAGCUUUAGAUCGGCUAUGAUCCUCUCUGGAUUUCAUUGAGGUCGACUGGAAUGAUUUACUGAAUGAUCUUUUACGAGAAUCUCGAGCUUCAUAGCCAGCUUUCCUCUUCUCUUUACUGAGCUCCUUAACUUUACAAGGUCGUUCAACAAGUACUACGAACUCUUUUAUCUCAAGUAUACCAAAUAACAGUUUAAUAUCUUCAUCCAGCCCAUCUUCAAAUCUUUUACACAUGAUAGCUUCAGUCGAAAUACAUUCUCGAGCAUAUCUACUGAGUCUCACAAAUUUCCGCUCAUAUUCUAUCACUGUCAUACGACCCUGUUUCAAUUCAAGAAAUUCCUUAUGCUUCUGAUCAAUGAAUCUUUGGCUGAUGUAUUUCUUACAGAACUCAAUCUGAAAGAAUUCCCAGGUCACUCGCUCUUUCGGAACCACCGAUACUAGUGUAUUCCACCAGUGAUAUGCAGUGUCCCGUAGCAAAGAUAUGGCACAUUUCAAGUACUCAUCAGGGGUGCAAGAUAACUCAUCAAACACUCGAAUAGUAUUAUCAAGCCAGAAUUCAGCUUGCUCAGCAUCAUCAUCAUCAGUAGCUCUGAACUCUUCGACCCCGUGUUUUCAAAUUUAGUCAACAGGAGGCUUAAGUAAUCUCAUCGGAUCACUUACUUGAGGUAUAAUAGGAAUCGAAGGUGGAUUAGUCGGGGGUGGAGUUUGUUGUGCAACCGGAUUAGUUCGGACAUAUUGAGUAAACCAGUCAUUCAUCAUUUGGUAGAAGGCUUGUUUAGCCUCUCCCUCCUGGUUACUCGAGGUCGGUCGAGAAUCUACCAGCUCUGUCCCUUGUGUGGGAGCAGGCGCUAUACUCUCAACAUCAUCGACUACGGCUGGAUCGGGAUCCAUUACUAUACGAAAACACAUUUUUAGACAUCAGCAGUCAUCGCACUAUCUUGGUAUAAAAAUAUGGCAUGUAUAGCUAGACUCAUACAUGCUACAUUAGUCCAAGAAUCGAUUAAACCGUAGCUCUGAUACCAAUAAAAUGUAACACCCCUAACCCGUAUCCGUCGCCGAAUUAGGGUUACGAGGCAUUACUGAACAAAUACAACCAUUUUUAAAACCAACUGAUCACAAACAUGAAAAUUAAAUCAUUUUCACAUAGCUAUUUAUAAUUUACAAUCAACAUCUAACCAACAUCGUACUCAAACCUAUACAUGCCAUAAGAUCAAGUUCAAAUAUUUAACAAAAUACCAAAAGGGGUCGAAAGUGUGAUAGACUAUGCUGAUGAUCCCCGAGCUCGUAACGCAUCUCCAAAAUCUAUAAAAACAAAUGGACAAAAACAAUCAAAGUAAGCUUUUAUAGCUUAGUAAGUCUAUAGCAUAUCUAAAAUACAUAUAAAAGAAUCAUAUAAUUCUUAAAAUAAAUUUAUUGAAAUCACAAUUAUCAAUUAUAAUUACUAAUCGAACAUUGCUAUAUUAAGUCAUCUUGUUUAAAUCUAAAAGGAUGUGUAUUUAUCUAAUACACAUGAACGGACAAAUGUAUAUACAUUAUAUGCAUAUAAUCAAUUUACUAACAUAAUCAUUAAUUGCAUAUACGGAUUUCUAUAGUACUUAUUGUUCGCACUUAAUCGGAUCCAUUUAAAUAUAAUUGUUCAAAUACAUAUACCAAAAGCAUAAUAAUUUUAUACUUGAUCAACUAUAAGUGCCGAAUGCACAUAUACACCUAUACCCACCUAUGCCGAAUGCAUACAUAUAUACACAUAUAUAUAUAUCCAACAAUUUCGUGACAACCGAUAUAUAUAUACAUACUCACUAUUCACAAGGACUCGAACGAUUAUAUACUCAUCAACCACCUUAAAACAAUGUUCAUAAACUUAUCCAUUUCAUAUAAACAAAAGCAUAUAUAUUUAUACCCAAUGCAUAGAAUCACUUAAUUUAAACAGAUUCACUAGCACUUCACCUGAUAGGCUUAUAGUUUAAUUCAGUUCACCGGUACUUAGCCUACUAGGCUUGUAGCCUGAUUCAGUUCACCGGCACUUAGCCUGCUAGACGUAUAGUCCGAUUCAAUUCACCGGCAUUUAGCCUGCUAGACGUAUAGUCCGAUUCAAUUUAUCGGCACUUAGCCUGCUAGAUGUAUAGUCUGAAUAAUUUUACUGGUAAUAAAUCCGAUAGUCAUUUCUCCGUUGAAAUUGAAUUAUAUUCAAUUCUGCGUAACAAACAUGCACUUAAAACAUACUUGCAUAAUUCACAACAAUAAUUUCAGUCCAAAGAGCUGUAAUUCAUAUUCGAACUAUAUAUAUAAAUCCAUACAUAAAAAUUCAGCUCAAAAUUUAUAACCUAUAUCUUUGAACCACAUAGGUACAUGAAAUUCAAACAACAAAAUCCAGCUCAAUAACUUCAUGAUUCAACCUAACAAAUUUAUGUAUAUAACUUUUUAUCUAAUUUCAAUACAAUAACUUAUACAUGUACGUAUAUACAUAUUCGAAUCUAACAUAUACAUAUAUAAUUUCAUACUUAAAUAUAUUCAAGACUUAUUCAUGAGUAUACAUAUAUAUUACAACUCACAUGUACAUAUAUAUACACAUUCAUACCUUUAACCAAGUCCAAGGCUUUAUACAUGUAUAUGCUUAUAUAUAUAUAUAUUCGGACCUUAUGUUUACAUAUAUAUUAUAUAUAAAUACCUUUGAUUAAAAACAAGUAUUUAUACAUAUAUAUAUUUUUGAACAUGAUACAUAUAUAUAUUUAUAUCAUUCAUACUUAAACAAAAUUCAAUCCAUAUACUUUCAAUUUCAGCUCACCAAAUUACUAUAGAUAUACAUGCAUAUAUACUGAUUUAAUAACCUCAAAUUGCUAAUAGACUUACCUCGGAUAUCAGCGGACACGAUCGACUAUUCGAUUACUUUCGUUUUUCCCCGAUCCAAAUUCGUUUUCUUCGUUUUUUUAUCUUAAUUAGACCUAGAGAUAGCCGAACCUUGUUGUUCUCUUUUCUUUUCUUUUCUUUUUCUUUUCUAUAUUCGGCCAAGAUGAAGAACAUGGCAUUUAAAAUUUGUUAUAUUAAACAUAUAUUAGCCUUAUUUUUAAUUUACUAUAUUAACCUUUACAUAUAUAUAUAACAUAUAUAAUAAGGUUACAUUAGUCCUUUGCCACCCACUAACUUACAUAGUGGACUAAUUGCAUAGUAAAACCUCUAAAUUAUAAAGACAACAACAAUUAGGUGCUUUUAUAAUUAACCCCUAAAUUUUCAUUUUACGCGAUUAAGCCCUUUUAUUAAAUCGGACACUUAAACGACGAAAUUAAAACACGAAAAUUUCACACAAUCAAAUGCAUACAAAAUAAUAUUAAUAAUAUUUUUCUAAUUCAAAUUUGUGGUCCCGAAACCAGUAUUCUGAUUAGGGUCAAAAACCGGGUUGUUACAACUCUCCCCCCUUAGAGAUUUUCGUCCCCGAAAAUCUUACCGGUGAAUAGGUUUGGAUAACGCUCUUUCAUUGUAUCUUCUGACUCCCAAGUUGCUUCUUCAACCCCAUGUUUAUGCCACAACACUUUAACUAACGGAAUUUUCUUAUUUCGUAAUUCUUUGAUCUCACGAGCAAGAAUGCUAAUCGGUUCUUCCUCAUAUGUCAUAUCAGAGUUAAUUUCAAUCUCCGUCGGACUAAUCACAUGUGAAGGAUCAGAUCGGUAUCUACGGAGCAUCGAAACAUGGAAUACGUUAUGAAUCUUUUCUAACUCAGGCAGUAACAUCAAUCUAUAAGCAACCAAUCCAACUCGCUCUAUAAUCUCAUACGGUCCAAUUAAUCUCGGACACAAUUUGCCUUUACGACCAAAUCUGAGUAUUUUCUUCCACGGUGAGACUUUUAACUUGCUCGGUGUCAACGGUAAAUCGGAUACAAAAUCCAUCGUGACUCGAUCCCAUUUCCAUUGAGGUAUCAUGAUCGGCUGAAGCAAUCCAGAUGGUACCUGAUGCUCGGCUUUAACUUGCUGACAAAUUAAACAUUUCGAAACAAAGUCAGAAAUGUCUCGUUUCAUACCUUGCCACCAAUAGUGCUGUUUUAGAUCGUUAUACAUUUUCGUGCUACCCGGAUGAACAGAAAAUCGAAUACUAUGAGCUUCCUUCAAAAUCAUCUGAAUUAACUCUGAAUUUUUCGGAACACAUAAUCGGUUUCUAAAUCUCAAACAAUCCUCAGCAUCAACUAAAAACUCCGAAUCAAUAUUUAAGUCACAUUGAGCUCGUUUUGCAGUUAAAUCAUUAUCAACCUUUUGAGCUUCACAAAUCUGUUGUACAAAUAACAGUUUUGCUUUCAACUCAGCUACUAUCGCACCAUCAUCAGACAUAACCAUAUGUGCGUUCAUUGCACGCAAAGCAAACAGUGAUUUUCGACUUAGGGCAUCAGCAACAACAUUAGCCUUUCCCGGAUGAUAGUCAAUCACAAGCUCGUAAUCUUUCAGCAAUUCUAACCAUCGACGCUGUCUCAAAUUCAGAUAUUUCUGAGUCAUCAAAUAUUUCAGGCUUUUGGGAUCGGAAUAAACAUGACAUCUUUCGCCAAACAGAUAGUGACGCCAUAUUUUUAACGCAAAUACAAUAGCGGCCAAUUCCAGAUCAUGCGUCGGAUAGUUUUUUUCAUGCGGCUUUAACUGUCUCAAGGCAUAGGCUACAACUUUGCCUUCCUACAUCAAAACACAACCCAAACCAUUUAAAGAUGCAUCACUAUAGAUAACAAACUCUUUACCCGAUUCGGGUUGAACUAGGACUGGAGCUUCGGUCAAAAGAACUUUCAACUGAUCAAAGUUUUUCUGACACUUUUCUGACCACUCGAACUUAACGUCUUUUUGUAGUAGCUUUGUCAUCGGGGUCGCAAUCAUAGAAAACCCUUUCACGAACCGUCUAUAAUAACCAGCGAGCCCCAGAAAGCUUCGAACAUCAGAGACAUUUCUCGGAGGUUUCCAAUCAAGUAUAGCUGAAAUUUUACUUGGAUCAACCUGAAUACCCGAUGCUGACACAACAUGGCCCAGAAAACUAACUUCACGUAACCAGAACUCGAAUUUACUGAACUUUGCAUACAACUGUUUAUCUCGCAAAGUUUGUAACACAAGUCUCAGAUGUUCAGUAUGCUCGGUUUCAUCACGAGAGUAGAUCAAAAUAUCAUCUAUAAAUACUACCACAAACAGAUCCAGAUACUGUCUAAAAAUCUGAUUCAUCAAAUCCAUGAAAACAGCAGGUGCAUUAGUAAGUCCAAAAGGCAUAACCAAGAACUCAUAAUGUCCGUACCUCGUUCGGAAAGCAGUCUUUGGCACAUCAGAGUCUUUAACUCGCAACUGAUAGUAGCCUGAUCUCAGAUCUAUCUUCGAAAACACAGUAGCCCCUUUCAACUGAUCGAACAAAUCAUCAAUCCGUGGUAACGGAUACUUAUUCUUUAUAGUCACCUUAUUGAGUUGCCGGUAAUCAAUGCACAUUCUCAUUGUUCCGUCUUUCUUUUUCACAAAUAGAACUGGUGCACCCCAAGGAGAGAAACUCGGUCGUGCAAAACCUUUAUCAGUCAACUCUUGCAACUGUACUUUCAAUUCUUUUAAUUCAGUCGGUGCCAUACGGUACGGAGCUAUCGAAAUUGGAGUUGUCCCUGGUACUAACUCAAUACCAAACUCUACCUCUCGAAUAGGUGGCAAACCCGGUAAUUCUUCGGGAAACACGUCUGAAUACUUACACACUACUGGCACAGAUUCAAUCUUCUUUUCGAUCACUUUACUAUCAAGAAAAAAUGCAAGGUAAUCUUCACAACCUUUUCUCACAUACUUUUUUGCCGACAUCGAGGAUAUUAUUGCUGGUAAACCAUUCAGAUCAUUAGAUUCAAUCCGAAUAAUCUCAUCAUUCUGACACCGUAGAUCAAUAGUUUUCCGUUUGCAGUUUACUAUAGCAUCAUGCAGAGUUAACCAAUCCAUACCCAGAAUUAUAUCAAACUCGUCAAAUGGUAGCAACAUCAAAUCAGCCAGAAAACAUAAAUCUCGAAUCAUCAACGGACAAUUCUUGCAUAUUUUGUCAACCAAAACACACCGGCCCAGGGGGUUCAAUACUUUAAUUACAAACUCAGUAGACUCAACAGGCAAAGUCUUACUGAAUACUAAAGUCUCACACACAUAAGAAUGAGUCGAACCAAGAUCAAUCAAUGCAAUAACAUUAGUAUCAUAAAGAGGGAAAGUACCAGUAAUAACAUCUGGAGAAGAAGCCUCCUCUUGAGCACGGAUGGCAUAUGCUCUGGCAAGUGCACGAGCCUCAGAUCGAACUGCCAUGUCCUUUGUUCCUCUCUGACUGCCACUUACAUUACUCAAUUGCCUCGGUGGUCUACCUCGUACUGGCACUUUACUCGGUCUGGUAUUCUGCACAGUGUUUUGCUCAGCUACCAUCGGACACUCUCGAAUGAAAUGAUCCUUUGAACCGCACUUAAAGCAAGACCGAUCAUGUAAUCUGCAAUCUCCAGGAUGCCAUUUCCCACAAUACUUGUACUCUGAUCUAUUUUGUCGAACACUACCAACGCUAGCAACUGAAGUAGCUCGUGAACUCACAGGGGGUCGAUCUCGAUCAUACUUAGGAAACCCUGCAGUAGCUUUAGAUCGGCUAUGAUCCUCUCUGGAUUUCAUUGAGGUCGACUGGAAUGAUUUACUGAAUAAUCUUUUACGAGAAUCUCGAGCUUCAUAGCCAGCUUUCCUCUUCUCUUUCCCGAGCUCCUCAACUUUACAAGGUCGUUCAACAAGUACUACGAACUCUUUUAUCUCAAGUAUACCAAAUAACAGUUUAAUAUCUUCAUCCAGCCCAUCUUCAAAUCUUUUACACAUGAUAGCUUCAGUCGAAAUACAUUCUCGAGCAUAUCUACUGAGUCUCACAAAUUUCCGCUCAUAUUCUAUCACUGUCAUACGACCCUGUUUCAAUUUAAGAAAUUACUUACGCUUCUGAUCAAUGAAUCUUUGGCUGAUGUAUUUCUUACAGAACUCAAUCUGAAAGAAUUCCCAGGUCACUCGCUCUUUCGGAACCACCGAUACUAGUGUAUUCCACCAGUGAUAUGCAGUGUCCCGUGGCAAAGAUAUGGCACAUUUCAAGUACUCAUCAGGGGUGCAAGAUAACUCAUCAAACACUCGAAUAGUAUUAUCAAGCCAGAAUUCAUCUCGCUCAGCAUCAUCAUCAUCAGUAGCUCUGAACUCUUCGACCCCGUGUUUUUGAAUUUUGUCAAUAGGAGGCUUAAGUAAUCUCAUCGGAUCACUUACUUGAGGUAUAACAGGAAUCGAAGGUGGAUUAGUCGGGGGUGGAGUUUGUUGUGCAACCGGAUUAGUUCGGACAUAUUGAGUAAACCAGUCAUUCAUCAUUUGGUAGAAGGCUUGUUUAGCCUCUCCCUCCUGGUUACUCGAGGUCGGUCGAGAAUCUACCGGCUCUGUCCCUUGUGUGGGAGCAGGCGCUAUACCCUCAACAUCAUCGACUACGGCUCGAUCGGGAUCCAUUACUAUACGAAAACACAUUUUUAGACAUCAGCAGUCAUCACACUAUCUUGGUAUAAAAAUAUGGCAUGUAUAGCUAGACUCAUACAUGCUACAUUAGUCCAAGAAUCGAUUAAACCGUAGCUCUGAUACCAAUAAAAUGUAACACCCCUAACCCGUAUCCGUCGCCGAAUUAGGGUUACGAGGCAUUACUGAACAAAUACAACCAUUUUUAAAACCAACUGAUCACAAACAUGAAAAUUAAAUCAUUUUCACAUAGCUAUUUAUAAUUUACAAUCAACAUCUAACCAACAUCGUACUCAAACCUAUACAUGCCAUAAGAUCAAGUUCAAAUAUUUAACAAAAUACCAAAAGGGGUCAAAAGUGUGAUAGACUAUGCUGAUGAUCCCCGAGCUCGUAACGCGUCUCCAAAAUCUAUAAAAACAAAUGGACAAAAACAAUCAAAGUAAGCUUUUAUAGCUUAGUAAGUCUAUAGCAUAUCUAAAAUACAUAUAAAAGAAUCAUAUAAUUCUUAAAAUAAAUUUAUUGAAAUCACAAUUAUCAAUUAUAAUUACUAAUCGAACAUUGCUAUAUUAAGUCAUCUUGUUUAAAUCUAAAAGGAUGUGUAUUUAUCUAAUACACAUGAACGGACAAAUGUAUAUACAUUAUAUGCAUAUAAUCAAUUUACUAACAUAAUCAUUAAUUGCAUAUACGGAUUUCUAUAGUACUUAUUGUUCGCACUUCAUCGGAUCCAUUUAAAUAUAAUUGUUCAAAUACAUAUACCAAAAGCAUAAUAAUUUUAUACUUGAUCAACUAUAAGUGCCGAAUGCACAUAUACACCUAUACCCACCUAUGCCGAAUGCAUACAUAUAUACACAUAUAUAUAUAUCCAACAAUUUCAUGACAACCGAUAUAUAUAUACAUACUCACUAUUCACAAGGACUCGAACGAUUAUAUACUCAUCAACCACCUUAAAACAAUGUUCAUAAACUUAUCCAUUUCAUAUAAACAAAAGCAUAUAUAUUUAUACCCAAUGCAUAGAAUCACUUAAUUUAAACAGAUUCACUGGCACUUCACCUGAUAGGCUUAUAGUUUAAUUCAGUUCACCGGCACUUAGCCUACUAGGCUUGUAGCCUGAUUCAGUUCACCGGCACUUAGCCUGCUAGACGUAUAGUCCGAUUCAAUUCACCGGCAUUUAGCCUGCUAGACGUAUAGUCCGAUUCAAUUUACCGGCACUUAGCCUGCUAGAUGUAUAGUCUGAAUAAUUUUACUGGUAAUAAAUCCGAUAGUCAUUUCUCCGUUGAAAUUGAAUUAUAUUCAAUUCUGCGUAACAAACAUGCACUUAAAACAUACUUGCAUAAUUCACAACAAUAAUUUCAGUCCAAAGAGCUGUAAUUCAUAUUCGAACUAUAUAUAUAUAAAUCCAUACAUAAAAAUUCAGCUCAAAAUUUAUAACCUAUAUCUUUGAACCACAUAGGUACAUGAAAUUCAAACAACAAAAUCCAGCUCAAUAACUUCAUGAUUCAACCUAACAAAUUUAUGUAUAUAACUUUUUAUCUAAUUUCAAUACAAUAACUUAUACAUGUACGUAUAUACAUAUUUGAAUCUAACAUAUACAUAUAUAAUUUCAUACUUAAAUAUAUUCAAGACUUAUUCAUGAGUAUACAUAUAUAUUACAACUCACAUGUACAUAUAUAUACACAUUCAUACCUUUAACCAAGUCCAAGGCUUUAUACAUGUAUAUGCUUAUAUAUAUAUAUAUUCGGACCUUAUGUUUACAUAUAUAUUAUAUAUAAAUACCUUUGAUUAAAAACAAGUAUUUAUACAUAUAUAUAUUUUCGAACAUGAUACAUACAUAUAUUUAUAUCAUUCAUACUUAAACAAAAUUCAAUCCAUAUACUUUCAAUUUCAGCUCACCAAAUUACUAUAGAUAUACAUGCAUAUAUACUGAUUUAAUAACCUCAAAUUGCUAAUAGACUUACCUCGGAUAUCAGCGGACACGAUCGACUAUUCGAUUACUUUCGUUUUUCCCCGAUCCAAAUUCGUUUUCUUCGUUUUUUUAUCUUAAUUAGACCUAGAGAUAGCCGAACCUUGUUGUUCUCUUUUCUUUUCUUUUCUUUUUCUUUUCUAUAUUCGGCCAAGAUGAAGAACAUGGCAUUUAAAAUUUGUUAUAUUAAACAUAUAUUAGCCUUAUUUUUAAUUUACUAUAUUAACCUUUACAUAUAUAUAACAUAUAUAAUAAGGUUACAUUAGUCCUUUGCCACCCACUAACUUACAUAGUGGACUAAUUGCAUAGUAAAACCUCUAAAUUAUAAAGACAACAACAAUUAGGUGCUUUUAUAAUUAACCCCUAAAUUUUCAUUUUACGCGAUUAAGCCCUUUUAUUAAAUCGGACACUUAAACAACGAAAUUAAAACACGAAAAUUUCACACAAUCAAAUGCAUACAAAAUAAUAUUAAUAAUAUUUUUCUAAUUCAAAUUUGUGGUCCCGAAACCAGUAUUCUGAUUAGGGUCAAAAACUGGGUUGUUACAACUCUCCCCCCUUAGGGAUUUUCGUCCCCGAAAAUCUUACCGGUGAAUAGGUUUGGAUAACGCUCUUUCAUUGUAUCUUCUGACUCCCAAGUUGCUUCUUCAACCCCAUGUUUAUGCCACAACACUUUAACUAACGGAAUUUUCUUAUUUCGUAAUUCUUUGAUCUCACGAGCCAGAAUGCUAAUCGGUUCUUCCUCAUAUGUCAUAUCAGAGUUAAUUUCAAUCUCCGUCGGACUAAUCACAUGUGAAGGAUCAGAUCGGUAUCCACAGAGCAUUGAAACAUGGAAUACGUUAUGAAUCUUUUCUAACUCAGGCAGUAACAUCAAUCUAUAACCAACCGAUCCAACUCGCUCUAUAAUCUCAUACGGUCCAAUGAAUCUCGGACUCAAUUUGCCUUUACGACCAAAUCUGAGUAUUUUCUUCCACGGUGAGACUUUUAAAAACACUUUAUCCCCGAUCUGAAAUUCUAUAUCCUUUCUUUUCAAAUCCGCAUAAGAUUUCUGACGAUCCGGUGCUGAUUUCAGACUGUCCCGAAUCACUUUCACUUUCUGUUCGGUCUCUUUAAUCAAAUCAACCCCGUGUAUCUUAUUUUCACUGAGCUCAGUCCAAUACAGUGGUGUACGACAUUUACGACCGUACAAAGCCUCAUAAGGUGCCAUUUUGAUACUAGAUUGAAAGCUAUUAUUAUAAGCAAAUUCAAUCAAAGGUAAGUAUCGUUCCCACGUACCUUCAAACUCGAGAAUGCAACAUCUCAACAUAUCCUCAAGUAUCUGAAUGAUUCGUUCAGAUUGACCAUCUGUCUGCGGAUGGAAAGCUGUGCUAAAAUGUAGUUUCGUACCUAAAGCUGUGCUAAAAUGCACACAAAAUAAACACACAAAAUAAUAUUAAUAAUAUUUUUCUAAUUCGGAUUUGUGGUCCCGAAACCACUAUUCCGAUUAGGGUCAAAAACCGGGUUGUUACAAUUCUGCUUCUUCUGCAUCAUCAUCUUUGGUAGCUCGAAAUUCUUCAGCCCCUUACUUCCUAAUCUUAUCAACAGGUGGUCUCUCACUGAUGACUAUACCUGCAGCUAGGGAAACUACAUGAGGAACCUGUGAAUCCUGAAGGGGUGGAGGUCUUACACCCGGAUUCAUACGAACGAACUCGGCAAACCAAUCAUUCAUGGCUUGGAAGAAGGCUUCUCUAGCUCCUCCUCCCUGUCUAACUGAUGCAGGUCUUUCACUAACGUUAACAUCUAGUGGCACCGUCCUUUCUGCGGAAGUAGGCGCAUUACUCUCUACUUCAUCUGCACCAGCUCGUUCAGGAUCCGUAACUAUAAAAUAAAAUAUUUUAAAAUCGUCAAGAGUCGUCACACUAUCAAAAUAUAUAAGUAUGGCAUGUAUAGGUAGACUUUUAUUCAUACUGCAUAUUUCUGAGAACCGAUUAAACCUGCUCUGAUACCAACAAAUGUAACACCCCUUACCCAAGACCAUUUUCGGAGUCGAGCACGAGGCAUUACUUAUCUUAUCUUACUAACUCGAAGCAUAAAAACUUAUUUUAAAAAUUAAUUUCACUAUUUACAGCAAUCUGUCCAAUCGAGCAGCAGUUACUAAAUUAAUAAUAACUCGAGCUACGGAACUUGAAAUUUAACUUCGUAAAUUUUCACUGAAACUAGACUCAUAUAUCUUCCUACCAUAAAGUUUUUAGGAUUUUUUGUUUAGCCAACUAGUACAGUUUAUUAGUCAAAUUCUCCCCUGUUUCACCAAUCGAUUGCCUUGACCUCUUAUCACUAAAAAUAAAAUUUCUCAAUGUGGGAUUUUCGUAUAGUGCUACUGCUUGCUUCUACAAAAAAUAGACUCAAUAAGGAAUCUAUAAAUAUAAACUACAGCUCCUAAAUAUUUUUUUAAAAAUUUUAAUGAUUUUCUAAACUCAAAAUAGGGGUCACCAAAAACUGUUCUAACCCUGUCUCACCAAAAUUCACAUAUCUUAAAAUAUAAAAUUCAUUUUGCUACACCGUUAUUUUUAUCUGAAAAUAGACUCAACAAGAUUUAAAUUCAUAUAUCAUUCACUCUUUAAUUCAUUUUAUACUAUCCUAGGUGAUAUUUCAAAGUCACGUCGUUGUUGCUGCCUGAAUUCUGUUUCUUUGCAAAAUUGUACCAUUUUAUGAUUUCCAUGCAUAGUUUAUCACUUACACUCUUAUAACAACAAACACUUCCAUACUUCACCAUUUUAGCAACCAUUCAUCAUCAACUACUUACAUAUCAUUCUUUAUCAAGAUCAUAAAUACAAACAUUUAAAAUAACUAAAUCCCUAUACAUUCCAUACUCAACAUGGUUCAACAUAAAAAUACCGAGUUGCUGUGGCUGAUAGUGUGGACGAUCUCCGACUUCUUUAGGAUCCUUGAAGUAACCUUGCAAUACUAUAAGAGAAAGAGAAAUAAAAGACGUAAGCAUAAAGCUUAGUAAGUUUACUAGCAAAUAAAUAACAAUAUUUAACUCAGAUAAUUAAACUCAAGUGUCUAUAUCUCUAGUUUACUCUUUAGUUAAUCCCAUUCUAGUUCUCUUGCUUGUUUACUUAGUAUACUUGUGUGCAUAACUUAAUCUUCUCUUGCUGUAUCGUUGAAUAUCAAUUGAUAAUAUAAUAAGUUCUUAACUCUUAUAACUUACCUGAACUUGCCAUUUAUGUUUUUAACUGAACUUUCCUGAACAUGAUUCGUUAUUUAGCCCGUUGAGCUACAUUGGAACAAUAAGGAUACUCGGGUCUCUUCUGAUAAUAACAUGCCAAAGCCAUGUCCCAGACAUGGUCUUACAUGGGAUGUACUCAUGUCGGUGCCCAUUCCAUGUCCCAGACAUGGUCUUACGGGGGACCUCUCAUCUCGGUGCCAAUGUCAUGUCUCAGACAUGGUCUUACAUGGGACCUCUCAUCUCGGUGCCAACACCAUGUCCCAGACAUUGUCUUACAUGGGACCUCUCAUUUCGGUGCCAACGCCAUGUCCCAGACAUGGUCUUACAUGGGACCUCUUUAUCCAAAUGUCAUGACAUUCGUAUCCAGUAUUAUCCUUAUGUAUCAACGGGACUUUUUAAUUUUAAUUCUCUAUCAUUUCAUGCUUGGAUAAUCAUCAAAUAAAUUCAUGAAAUAAAUUCAUAGUUGCUGGAAAAUAGCAGCAUUAAUAAAAAUUAUUGAAAUAUUUCAUUUAUUUACCGUAAACUUACCUUGGUACCGAAUAUAGCCCAAUUCACCAACUUAGUCUUCAACUUUAUUCUUUCCUUUGUCUAACCUCGAGUUUCAUUCUUCUUGAUCUAAAAUAGAAAAUUUAACUUAUUUAAUACUCACAUUCAUCAAAACAGCCCUCGACUCUAACUUUUCAAAAUUAUGAUUUUGCCCCUAAACUUUUACAUAAUUACAUUUUUCCCCAAGGCUCGAAAAUUCAACUUCAUCUCAUAUUCUUAUGUUUUAUGGCAUGCUGAAUAUUUUUCUCUUCUAUGACAAUAUCAAAUUCUCACUCUAACACUUACUUAUGUACAUUAGAGAUUUUUACCGAUUAUGUCAACUUACUCGUUUUUGCUUAAAAUCGGCUAACAAAAGUUGUUUAACAUAAUUUAUAGCUUCAUAUUCUAUCAUAAAACAUCAAAAUAAACACUUUUCACCUAUGGGUAUUUUUCCAAAUAUAAACCCUAGGUUAAAUUAUUGCUAGAAUAAGCUAAAUUAAGUUACCGGGACUCCAAAAACGUAAGGAACAUUAAAAACGGGGCUUGGGAUCACUUACUAUGGAGCUUGGAAGCUUGAAAACCCUAAAUAUGGCUUACCCCCUUGCUGAUUUCGUCCAAAUGAAGAAGAUGAGCAUAAUUUGUCAUCUUUUUCCCUUUUAAUUCAUUUUAAUUACUAGAUUACCAAAUUGCCCCUAACUUAAAAAUUUCCUAUUUCACUUAUCUCAUGUCCAUUUUUGUCUAAAAACUUAACCAAUGGUCUAAUUACCAUAUAAAGACCUCCAAUUUAAAGUUUCAUAACAAUUGGACACCUCUAACAUGUAGAACUCAACUUUUGCACUUUUUGCAAUUUAGUACUUUUGACUAAAUUGAGUGCCCAAACUUCAAAAUUUUCGAAUAAAAUUUUCAUGAAAUCAUUUUGUGAAAUCAUAGACCAUAAAAAUAUAAGAAAAAUAAAAUUUUCCUCAUCGGAUUUGUGAUCCCGAAACCACUGUUCCGAUAAUCUUAAAUUUGGGCCAUUACAUGAUCACCUUUUUACUAGCUCAUACAUCUCCUACAUCAGACCUUACAUGCAUGCUUACCAAACUUUAUUCUUUUUAACAAAACUUUAUACAUAUCAUCGUAGCACAUCUUUCAUCUUUACUAAACUCAUAUUUUUACCAAUUUCUGUAGACAUCAUCAUCAUCAUCCUAUAUAUAUGCUUCUUGUUUGAACAGUUCAUAUCAAAGAGUCAAGAUAGAGACCCACUUGACACUCACCUACUGCAGUUCAAAGCUCUAAACUUAACCAUCCUUCUCAAACCAGCAGUAAAAACUGCUUAUAGAACAUAGAAUCACCAUUAAAAACCCAUUUACAUACAAAUUACUAUCAUCUUAAUCACUUUUCCACUGUUAAUUUAUAAAUAAGUGUUAAGUAGUAAAUAAAUAAAAAAAUUAACUAAGUUUUCAAAAAAAAAGUCACUGUGACGAGAAGAAUGUUAAAAUUAAUUGGUGUUUGUUAACUCAUAUGUUUUUCUAAAAAUGGGUUAAGUUUUCUUCUGAAAUAAACAAAUGUUUUAAAAUGAUUGUUUUAUAAACUCCGAUCGUACUAUCCCAUCUUGGUGGCUGAUGUAAUAUCCCAAAUUCAGGUCUAACAUCUAAGUCGGGUUGGAUAGGUUACAAUAUAUAUAGAAAGAUUGAUAAAUAAUGCAAACUUGAAUACAAGCAAAGAAAGAAAUCAAUCAAUGUGAAUGACUAACAAGUUUAAAAUCAUAUAUUUGCAUUAUAUUUUGUAAAGCACAAGAUUGUCAUGGAAUUAGACAAUUUGUUUUGAUAAUGGUUAUAUUUUAUAUAGAUUUACUUUUAUGCACUUUCAUAUUGAGUUGAUCAAAAGUUUUGAAACUUUAUAGAAAAUUUGAAUGAAAGAGCAUAUUGAUAUAUAUGCUAUCUUGAGUGUUGAAUUAAGCAUUCUUUAGUAAAAGAGUGUACAUUUCGCACAUGGUAGGUGUGUUGGUUUCUUAUAUAUUAAUUAAGCACAAAUUAAAGAAAAAUAAUAUAUAUCACCAUAGUGUUGUAAUAUUUUGUAUAAUUUGUGAAAUUAUACAAGCAAAUAAGUUUACCUAUCUUGUUAAAUAAAACUCAUUAAGUUGGUUCUUAAUCUUGAAGAAUUAAAUAGGUUGGCUUCUUUAUUCAUUUUAUCCAACUACAAGUUAGAUUAAAGUUGUGGAAAUAGAAUGGUUGAAAAUUUGUGUUAAUGAGAAUUAGAGUUAUGGCCACAACUGAUGCCAACUAUUUCCUAAAAACAGGGAAUGAUGUCCAAAAACAUGCUGUAAAAUAAAAAUUUGGACAUGUUAGAAUAUGAAUUUAUUAUAUUAUAGUUUCAAUGUAAUACCCUUAUCCCAUCUCUGUUGCCGGAUUAGGAUUUCAGAGUAUUACUGAGAAAAAUAGAACAUUUAACUUUCCAACAGAAACAAUUGUACAAUUAAAUACCAACAUAUAACAAUUGAAUCUAAUCAUGGCAAAUAUUACACUUUUGGACCUUGAAUCGAGCCUAUGGGGCCCUAGAAACAGUUUAGGAACAAUCUGGGAUCAAAUCAAAACAAAUCAGAACAUUUUGAAAAAACAUAAAAAUUUAGGAAUACAGAGGUCACAGGCCAUAUGGCCAAGUCGUGUGACAUAGCCUAGAUUGUGUAAACAUCCGAAGUCAGGACACAUAGCUGUGUCCCAGCCUGUGUGUCUACUCAUGUGUAUAUUUGAAAUAGGGUCACACAGUCGUGUUGCAGACUGCCAAACGUGUGUGUAUUCAAAGUGAGGUCGCAAGACCAUGUGGCCGACCGUGCCACAAACUGUUUUGAGACACAAGGUCAUGUCUCAGACCGUGUAAAACAUGCACUUAAAAUAAUAAAUACACACGACCGUAUCUAGUGACUAUGUGUGGCACAUGGUCGUGUGGUAGCUUGUGUCUCAGGUCGUGUGCUCCAUUUUUAACCCCUAAAUCAAGCCAAUCAAGCAUCAUUUCUUAUACAACAAGACAUACCAUAUCUAACUAAUUUUACAUGGUUAAAAACACAUUCAAAUCAACAAAUACAUGCCAAAAUUUCGUUCAUCCUAUGUCUAACCAAUAUGCCAUCAAAAGGCACCUCAAUCCAUACAUCCAUUCAACUCAAGAACAAAGUUACAAUAAAUGAACAAGUUUUAUCAUUAGUUAACCAUUCAUGCCUAAAACCACUAAUCUAAUUGACCAAAAUAUGGGCAUACUCAACAAGCAACCAUUUCAAAACAUCAUCAUCAAAUCUUUAUAUACCAUUUAUGAUCAACUUAAUUAUAUUCAACACAAGUACACAUCCAAAAUCAAGCACAUCACUAAGUAUGCCAAAAUAACUUAACUAUUUACAUAUCAACAAUAAGACACCAUAUCCCAAAAUGAAAUAAAAAAGCUACCAAGAUGGUUGGAUAGUGUGUGCUCCAAAACAAUUCAUCCGGUUAGUCCACAAAACGCCAAAUCAACCAAUAUAGAUAAACAAAAAGGUAAGUUCUAAUUCUUGAUAUUCAAAUGCAAGAUCACACCACAUUAGUAUAUAUUUAUUUACAUCAUAAAUGAUACCUUCCAAAAUUCAUAACCAAUUCAUCAUCCACAAUUUCUCAAUACAACCAUUAAUAUUUAUAAACAAGAACUUCAUAGUAACAUUUAUCAUUUAGUAGUAAUAUAAUUAUCCAACAAAAUUGAACAAAUAAAUGCGUUUUAAGUCAUUUGAUACAUAGCCUGCUGAACUAUAGUAACUUGACUCGGAUACUCAUGAUACUACAUCACACCAAAGGUAUCAAUGAUGCAUAACAGAGGCACCGAAGUGCAGACAAAUGCAUGAAUGUGCAAUCAGAGGCACCGAAGUGAAAACAGAUGCACCAAAGUACAAACCCGUACGAGUGCGCAUUAAAACCCUAUUGGCAUGCUAAUCGUAUCCUAAUUGUUUACUACGUUCAACUGGGCAUUAUACUUAAAAUCAUAAUAUCAAUAAAUCCAUCAUUUAGAGGCACUUCUUAUUUCCGUACACAUACUAUAAAUAUGUAACUUUCAUUUCAAUAAUAUGCAAUAACAAUAAUUACCAUCAUCAAACAUUCAUUUUCUAUUUGUACUUAAUUGCAAAAUUUAAUAAUAUAUAAGUAACUCAUGAAAUUUCACAUAUAUACCAUUAACUAGAAAACAAUAAUAUAAUCAUAAAGUGACACACAUAUACAUAUUAUUACACUAUGAACUUACCUAAAAUCUACUUUCGAUUAAUACACAGGGACUACUCCGCUAUUUUUUCCCUUUUCUCGGUUAUUGUCUUUUUGACUCGGUUCUUGAUCUAUAUAGUAAUUAAAUUCAAUUUAUGAAAUUCACAUACAUUUAAAACUCAAUUCAAUGCAUGAUACCCUUAUGUUUUCAUUAUUUUCACAUUUUUCUUAAACUUUUACAUUUCUCACAAUUUAGUCCCUACAAAAUUUAACAAAAUUUUACAAUUUUCCAUGUUAGUUGAACUUCUUUCGAAACUAGUACAAUCCCUAAUUAUUCACAAUUCACAAAAUUUCUAUGCAAAUUUUAAUAAUUCACACAUUGAUCAUUAAACUCAAAAUUAACACAAAUUUUUUUACAAAAAUAUCCUAAUCAACAUUCAAAUAUGUACAACUACCAUUAAAAAUCAUGAACACCAAAAUUCCAUUACUAACCAAUCCCUAAAACUUUAACAUUUUUAUAAUUCCAUCCUCGGGUUUAAUAGUUUAAGUUACAACGAGUUCAAAAACGUAAAAAUUAUUAAAAACAGGUAAGAGAAACACUUACAUGCACCAAUUUGCUAACCGAAACUUCAAGCUCCAAAAAUGGAGUUUUUUUUUUCUUUUUCGGUGGGAGAGAGUUGAGAAGAUGAUGAUACCAUUUUUUUCUUUUGUUUCUUUUCUUUAAUCAAACUAAUUACUAAAUUAUCCUUUUAAUCUAAACUAAAUUAUUAACAUAGCAUGUCCGUAAUUAUCCAUUAACUAACCAUAAGGUUUAUCUAUCAACCAAGUCCAUUACUUUAGUUUUUCUUUAAAAAUCAAGCACAUUUAACAAAUAGAAGCCACUUUAGCAUCUUUUACAAUUUAGACCUUUUUACUAAAUUAACUAAACAGACAUUAAAAUUUCUUAGCCAAAUUUUAUUAUGACUCCAAUAUAACUCUAUAAGCAUAAAAUAAACAUAAAAUACUAACUCAUUUGUCGAAAUUGUGGUCCUGAAACCACCUUUUUUGAUACCACUGAAAAAUGAGAUAUUACAUUAAAUCUCUAAUUUAUGAUAAUGAAUGUGAGAGAAUAAUUUUCUUUGUUUAGAAAUACUAAUCAUUUUCUUUGUUUAGUAAUACUACAACUAGAAUGUGUUUCGACCCUAUUAUUAGAAACUAAUAAUGGAAACCCAACUUUUAAUUAGAAACCUCUAAUUUUAAAGUUUAAUAGGUAACACCCCGAAUUUUGGCCCUAGAAGAAAUAUGUUUUGAACAAGGGAACAGUUAGGAGACUGCACAUAAAUAUUUAGUUGUGCAAGGAAGUGACAUAAAUGAAUGUCUACUUCAGUGGUUGAGUGAUUUAGGAGUGUUUGGAACUGUCUGAGAAGUCAGGGAUUCAAGCAUUGCUUAUGCAAAAUUUUUAUUUUAAGUGAAUAAAAUCAUUGGAUCUAGAUAGUAAGUUCUUAAAUUAUUGUGGUUAAAAUAUGAUGCAAAAGAGUUGUUGGUCUAGUGGUAAGGGGUGUGUGGAGUGCACAUAGGGCCUAAGGUUCGAGUGGUGGCGCAUCAGAAAGGAAAUAUUUAUUUUGCUACUUGAGCUGUUUAGGUAGUGGAGUUGGACUGAAACACAACUAAGGGGAGUUUGCAUAGAAUUUGAAUGGAGUUGUUGGGGGAGUUGAGGAGAAACCGGUAGAAUAAUUUAAGGAGGGAUAAGGGGAGAGAUUUUAGGAGAAAAUCAAGGGAAGUGAGGGGAGUGAAGAAGUGUGCCGAAAGUGGACUUUGAUACUCAGGAAAUUUGGCCAGAAGGGAUACUGCUCAUUUUGGUAUACUUUUCAUUUCGGUUUUGUGUAGUGUUUCUCUCUCUUUUUGCUUUUUGGUGCCGAAUUUUUGCUAAGAUUUCGAGUACCACUCGGGUUUUUCUUUUGCUGCUUUUUUCUUUUAUCAUUUCUUUUGUUUUGGCCGAAUUUCUUUUUAGUUCCCUCCUUUGUCGAAUUCUUUUCUCUCUUCUCUUUGUUGCUUCUUUUCAUUUCUCUAUUUUUCCAAACCUUGACCGAACAGUGUUGAAGUAGUUCUGUGUUCCAUCUUUUGUCUAAAAUGCUCUUCUUCCUCUACUCCUUUUGAUCAACUAUUUGUCGAAUAUUGCCUUCUCUCCCCUUUUAUCUCUUUAAAUUUAUUUUCGGCUUGACAACAAUUCUCUAACAGUUCAAAUUUCUUGAGGAGUGAAAAAGUAUCGCAUAAUAUUAAAGUCAUCGAAACCUUUCUCUCAUCACUCGAUCAAAGGUAAGUAUGUAGGCUAGCAUUCUAAAGUGUAGGCUGAGUGCUUUCUAUGGUUUCAUAAGUUAUUAUGUUUGGAUUUAAACCACAUGAAUAAACAAUCCUAUUUAAUAAAAUCCGUUUGUAAUGCAGAUAUCCAUCAAAGAGAUUGUAGUCAACCUUCGUCAGUGAUAUAAGUAGGCUAAGUCACAUUUGACAAUCGAGGCUUUGGUGCUCGUGGAUCUUAGAGUGUUUUCACAAUCAGGUGUGUAAACACCCCACUGUAACCGUAGAACGACAAAAAGCUAAAAGGCCAAAAAUACGGUGUUUGAGACCACACAGGCGUGCGAUCUCUCAUGUGGUAAGCCCAACCCACAAAUCAUGGCCGAUAGACUGUAGAGGCCUCCAUGAACAUUUCCAUGGGCUUAGGCCGUAAUGGGCCACGUUGGGCCGAAAUGGGUCGUGUGGGUUCAAUAGGCUCGUGGGCACCAUACAGAUGAGAACCACGAUUUGUGAAAAAUACUGGACUGGGCUAUGAAGAUCUCAUAGCCGUGGAAAAAUCUGGGCUGAACAGGCCGCACAAGCGUGCGGGCCUACUUGGGCCGAGUAAUGGGCCUUAGGCCCAUUUGUACCAUUAUGACCAUUUAGGUUACCUGAGUCGCUCGAGGUAACUACGGACCUUUCGAGAGGUCGAUAUCUGCACCAAGACCCAAAAUAGGUAAAAUGAUCGAAAUACCCCUAUAGAGUAAAAUGACCGAAAUACCCCCAAAGGAUAAAAUGAUUGAAAUACCCCUAUAAGGUAAAACGAUCGAAAUACCCCCGUAGGAUAAAAUAACUAUUAUACCCCUAGAAGAUGAAAUGACUGUUAUGGCCUUAUGCUAUGUAUGACUGUUUUGCUCUAUGAUAUGUAUGACUAUGGUUGAGCAUGACAUUUUUCAUACACGUAUGAUAUUAUGUCAUGAUAUAUUGCAUGGGGAUGGAUUGUUAUAUUUGGAGGAAGUGUACUGUACUGACAAGGUUGCACGGGUCGCCCAAGACGACUGUGGACCUACUGAUGGCUAUAUGCCAUUUAUUUUACUGGCAGCUUUGCUGCAAUACUGUUUAAUGCUGCAACUGGUGCUAAUCUUGGUGUGUUUGGAUGGAUGGGUAGAUUUUAUCCCCCAUAUGGUGUGUUUGGCGGAACUGUAACACCCUUAACCUGAAUCCAUUCUGACAUUGUCUCACAAAAUUUAUUAUAUCUCAUAGUUUACAAUUUUAUUACUUACACCAUUUCUUCCAUGAGAAACUAGACUCAAUAAGUUUUAAUUCUAUAUUUUAUUCAUACUCUAAUUCGAUUUUCAUAAUUUAUGGUGAUUUUUCAAAGUGAGCCUACUGUUGUUGUCCAAAACUAUUUUAGUACAAGAUGUUUAUUACCAUGUUUAUAACACCCUUAUUUUCUUUCUCUACACUAUUUCUCAUCCCUUUCUCUUAUUUUCUCUUCACUUACAUAUUAAGAACAUAGGACCAUAUAUACAAAAAAACUUUACACUAACAUCAUUUCCAUACUUUUUCAAUAAUAUCAAACUUAAAAAUAUACUAAAAUCUUGAUGUACUUACCUUGUCAUAUUGAUUUUAAUCUUUAACUUGAUUUUCUCUCUCCUCCAGCUUCUAUUUCUUGAAUCUAACUUGAUAUUAUAGCUCCCCAUAGUCUCCUUGUAAUCUUUCUCUCUUGAUGGAUAUGGAAAUUCUUUUGAUUUCUAGAUGAAAAUAGUGAAUUUUUGGUGAAAGGACUAAAUUGUAAAGAAAGCAAAACUUUCUUUCUUCUCUUCUCCUCUUAACGUGAAUUGCAUGGAAAAGAUGGUGGGUUGGUUCCUUUUCAUCUUUCUUUCCACAUAUAUAUACUAAAUAAUAAAAUAAUAAAAUAUCAUUUAAAAAUCAAAUUAAAAUACUAAUAAACUAAUAUUUAUUUGUUUAUUUAAUCUAAAAUAUCUCCAACAUCAUCAUUAUCUUCUAGAUUUCUCUCUCUUCUAAUUGACCAUUUUGCCCUUCAUGAUAUUUUAAAAUUCCAUCCUUGAGUCAUCACUUAAUUUCGUAAAAUUUCAAUUUAGUCCCUCAAAAUUCCUCACCUUUUUUCAAUUUAGUCCUAAUACAUCCAUUUUCCUUAGUUUCUAGAUCAUUCCACCCUUAAAAUAUUUACACCAUUGGUCCUUCAAUUUUUUCAUAUUUACACUUUAACCCCUCAAUUUUUGAGUAUUUACUCUUGGGCAACAAAAUUUUUACGAUUUAAUCCUUUCUUGAGGUAAUAUGUCAUAAUAUACUUCCCAAUGUUGACAUAACUCCAAAAUUCCCUUUUUUGUCGCUUUAUUUCCUUAUUUUUUUAUAUCAAAGAUAAUAUCUUACUGUAAAAAUUUUUUUGGGGGGUAUUACAUUUCUCUCCCCCUCAAAAUAAAUUUCGUCCUCGAAAUUUCCUUAUUUUCUUUUGAUCAUGAACUUAUUUUUUCUUUAAUUCUAUAGUUCAUUUUUUUUGCAUAUAUUUACUUAGCUUAUCAUUUGUGUCUAUUCUUUAUUCUUUCAUUUCACAAUUUAUUUUUAAUUUAAUAUUUCAAACAUGAAUCAGAGAUAAACUUUUACCUUGUAACUAAAAUUAUUUACCUUUUUACCUGAGGCCCAGUGGACUAAAUAGAACACGUAGGAUAUAUGAAAUUGAUACAGAAGUGCUCUGUUAUACAUCAUUAAACAGAGAGCACUAAAGUGUUAUACGGGAGCAUAAAUGUGCUAAUAAUUGGAGAGCACUAGCGUGCUAUUAAUCAGAGAGUGCGCUAAGGUUCCUUAAUGAUAUACUACUAAUAUCCUAAUAGUUCUAAUCUCAUCUACUUGGGCAAAUUAUAUCAUGCAUGCAUACGACUUUUACACUUUGCGCAUAAUGCUUUUACAUACUUUACAAUUUAAACCUUGUACCAAUGAUUCGUAUAUUUAUACCUUCUCUACCUUUAAUACAUGUAAUAUAUUUCAAAAUUCACUAAUAAUCCAUAUAUAUCAUGUACUUCAUAUAUCAUUUUUACAUAUUAUGCAAUUUAGUCAUCAGCGCAAUAUUUCUUGUAGCAAUAUGUUUUUCUUUUAAUGACACAUAUAACAUUCAUCAUCGACAUGUAUUAUAAAACAUUUAUUCAUACUUUCAUGAGUUCCAAUUCAUCCUAAUCAAUUUUUUUUACUCAUAUACUUGAGUAUCACUUUCAACAUUAUCAGAAUUAGCUCGGUUAGGAAAACAUCUCUGUUUAUAAGUAAAACAAUUCUCAUCAGACUCGAGAGAUAUCACACUAUCACAGGUUACAUAAUGGCAUGCAUUUCUAGACUUCACAUAAGCUACGUUUGGUCCAAGAACCGACUAAAUCGUAGCUCUGAUACCAAUAAAUGUAACACUCUUAACCCGAAUCCAUUCUGACAUUGUCUCACAAAAUUUAUUAUAUCUCAUAGUUUACAAUUCUAUUACUUACACCAUUUCUUCCAUGAGAAACUAGACUCAAUAAGCUUUAAUUCUAUAUUUUAUUCAUACUCUAAUUCGAUUUUCAUAAUUUAUGGUGAUUUUUCAAAGUGAGCCUACUGUUGCUGUCCAAAACUAUUUUAGUACAAGAUGUUUAUUACCAUGUUUAUAACACCCUUAUUUUCUUUCGCUACACUAUUUCUCAUCCCUUUCUCUUAUUUUCUGUUCACUAACGUAUUAAGAACAUAGGACCAUAUAUACAAAAACUUUACAUUAACAUCAUUUCCAUACUUUUUCAAUAAUAUCAAACUUAAAAAUAUACUAAAAUCUUGAUGUACUUACCUUGUCAUAUUGAUUUCAAUCUUUAACUUGAUUUUCUCUCUCCUCCAGCUUCUAUUUCUUGAAUCUAACUUGAUAUUAUAGCUCCCCAUAGUCUCCUUGUAAUCUUUCUCUCUUGAUGGAUAUGGAAAUUCUUUUGAUUUCUAGAUGAAAAUAGUGAAUUUUUGGUGGAAGGACUAAAUUGUAAAGAAAGCAAAACUUUCUUUCUUUUCUCCUCUUAACGUGAAUUGCAUGGAAAAGAUGGUAGGUUGGUUCCUUUUCAUCUUUCUUUCCACAUAUAUAUACUAAAUAAUAAAAUAAUAAAAUAUCAUUUAAAAAUCAAAUUAAAAUACUAAUAAACUAAUAUUUAUUUAUUUAUUUAAUCUAAAAUAUCUCCAACAUCAUCAUUAUCUUCUAGAUUUCUCUCUCUUCUAAUUGACCAUUUUGCCCUUCAUGAUAUUUUAAAAUUCCAUCCUUGAGUCAUCACUUAAUUUCGUAAAAUUGCAAUUUAGUCCCUCAAAAUUCUUCACCUUUUUUCAAUUUAGUCCUAAUACAUCCAUUUUCCUUAGUUUCUAUAUCAUCCCACCCUUAAAGUAUUUACACCAUUGGUCCUUCAACUUUUUCAUAUUUACACUUUAACCCCUCAAUUUUUGAGUAUUUACUCUUGGGCAACAAAAUUUUUACGAUUUAAUCAUUUCUUGAGGUAAUAUGUCAUAAUAUACUUCCCAAUGUUGACAUAACUCCAAAAUUUCCCUUUUUGUCGCUUUAUUUCCUUAUUUUUUUAUAUCAAAGAUAAUAUCUUAGUGUAAAAAAAAAUUUUUUGGGUAUUACAGGAACAGAGUGGUGUGUAGAGGCUGGAUUGGGUAGGAUUUCUAACUGCAUAUCUACACUAAUUAAUGAUUUUGUAUUGUUACUACAUCGAUUAAUGAUAUUACAUACUGUUUACUGCAUGACUGAUAUUUGUUGCUGUUAUGGGCCAAGGCCCCACUGAUACUAUUACUGAAAUUGGGCAAAUGCCCUAUUGAUUAUUGGUAUUGUGAUGGGCUCAAGCCCAAUCGUUUAAUGUUACGGGAAAGGGCUUAGGCCCACACUGAACUGGACUGUUACUAUAACAGGCUCAGGCCCAAACUGUAUUUAUCUAUUGUUUAAUUGACUACUUACUUGUUAGGGGAUUGCACACUGAGUUUUCGUAAACUCAACCCGUUGUUUAACUGUACAGGUAAUCCCUAGUUGUAGUAGGGUCAGUGCUGCGAGGGACUCGAUGAUGGCCACACAACUGCAUCAGCUUUUGUUUUUAGCCUUUGAUUUAUAAGAAACUGAAUUUGGGUAUUUUUAUGUAAAAAGGCCUCUUUAAAGUUAUAAACUUUAAAUUGGGGUUUUUAUUUAUUUAGUUUGAUAUAAACUACUAGUUGUAGAAAAAGACGGGUUUUCAAAAGGUAAAUGUUUUCAAAGUUUCAAAAGGUAAAUGUUUUCAAAGACACCACGUUUUCGCAACAUUUCUAAAAAAAAACUUCCGCAAUGAAUGAGAUUUUGGAAAAUUUAUAACGUUUUAAAAGUGAUUAGCUUUUAAUGAUGCAUGCUUGGAAAUGAACAACCCGUUUUGGAAUCAUAGUUUAACAGCAAAAUGAUUAAUUGAUUUUAAAGAUUUCAACGACAACAAGUUUUACGCUAAACACCUUAAAGUGACACCGCCAGAUUCAACCAUAACUCCUAGGCCGGGUUUGGGGUGUUACAAUGUGUUUCAACCCUAUUAUUAGAAACUGAUACCCUAUUAUUAGAAACUGAUAAUGGAAACACAACUUUUAAUUAGAAACCUCUAAUUUUAAAAUUCAAUAGGUAAAAGCAAGUUAUCGUUAAGUGCCUGUGAUACGCUAGUAAAACUCAUUCUAGAAAAAAAAGUUUAAUGGAAACAAUUGUUAUCCAUUGCGUAUAGAGGAUGAAUUUGAAUACUAUUAAUUAAGUUCAUUGUUUAUUGUUUAAAUGUCUAAAGUAAGGGAGACAUUAAAAGAACUCUACCUUUAUAAACAUAAGAAGUGGUGCCACUUCAACAAGUAAAGGUAGGGUCUCUCUUGUAAAUGUUUAUUAUGAACAAGAUAAGCACAUGAUCAUUUUAGUGCUAAAAGUGAACAACCUCUGAUAGAAAUAUAAACGAAUAUUAUGUAUAGUGUAUUUCAACUUCUAAUACUAGGAGUUGUGGUUCAAUCUUCGGACACCGACAACUUAUUAAAACUUUGAAAAGCAUCCGCUUAUUGAUGGUUCAUAUUGAGAGGUAUCAUCUUUAAUGCAUAAUAUUUGUUUGAGUGAAUGACCAUAAAGUAUGGUACCAACAUUUAAACUAAGGGUGAUUGUUAGUAGUUUAUAAUUUUGGCAGUAAAAAUAUUUUAUUAUGUAGAAAAGUCUAAUAAAUUAUAAUUAUUGGUCAAAUAGUUGUGUUGUAAAGACAAUUUUUGUAUGUAAAGUUGUCUUAUAAACUUUAUGUAAAGUUGUGUUGUAAAACAACAAAAUUAUAUGAAAAUGUAUCUUAUUAAAAGAUACAUCCAUAUGAAAGGGUAUCUCAUGAAAAGAUACACCUAUUAGAUGUCUAUAUAAAAGAUUUUUCUGUUAGUUAUUUAAAUUGUUUUGCUUGGAGUGUUGAGGGCUUUGUUGUAUCUUGAAGGUAUUUUAAAAUCUUAAAGAAAGUGCUCUACACACCUUAAAGUCAUUAUAUUUUAUAACAUUAUUUUAUUUUUCUAACUUUUAUUUUCCUAUUAUUUAUUUUUCUAACAGCUAGAAUAUAGGAAAAUUAUUAUGUUUCUAGCUAUAUAUUGAAUACAAGUAUGUUGGUGUUUAGAACUCGAACUUUGAUGGUUGAUCGAGAGAUUUGAAGCAGAAAGAAGAGACGGGAAGUUUUAAGUAGAAAAAUAAUUGAAGACUGGAAUAUAUAAUUGAUUUGCACCUCAACUAUUUAAAUACAAAAGUUCAAGCUAAAAAUAGAAAAAAAAAGUUCUAAAAAUCUGCUAAAAAUCUGGUAACAAAAUAGCAAACAAAUCAAAAAUCUAAUCUCCUAAAGUCAAGGAGAAUUAUUCAAACUUAGUAACAGAAAAAAUUUAAAUGGCAGCAAUCUUAAACACAUGAUCUUAACACUCCUCCUUGUUUAGAUGCUACAAACUCCAAGUUUCUUCCUGAAGCUUUCAAACUUGCUAAGUGGCAAUGGUUUGGUGAAGAUAUCUGCAAUUUGAUCUUCAGAUUUGUAGUAACAAAGAGACACAUCACCACUCUUUUAAACUUCUCGAACAAAAAAUAACUUGAUGUUAAAAUGCUUAGUCUUCCCAUGAAAGACUGGAUUGUUAGAGAUUGCAAUGGCAGCCUGGUUAUCAACUAGAAUCUUUGUGCUUUGCUUCUACUCCAUGUUUAGAUCAACAAGAAUCUUCCUUAACCAGAGAGCUUGGUUAACUGUUGCUGUUGCAGCCAUAAAUUCUGCCUCAACAGUGGAUUGAGCUACAGUUUCUUGCUUCUUCGAGCUCCAAGAGAACAUGCCUGAUCCAAGGCAAAAACAAUAACCAGAGGUACUCUUCAUAUCAUCAGUUAAGCCACCCCAAUCACUGUUAGAGAAACCAAUCAACUUCAAUUCCCUAUGCUUUAAAAACUUUACUCCAUAAUUCCAGGUCCCCUUGAUGUAUCUGAUAACUCUUUUUGCAGCUCUCAUGUGAGUCUCAUUGGGACAAUGCAUGAAUCUGGAGAGAAUACUUACAGCAUUCAAGAUGUCGAGUCUGGUUGUUGUUAAGUACAUUAGACAACCUACCAAACUCCUGAACUCAGCUUCAAUGACUUUGGCAGAACCAUCAUCUUUGAUUAGCUUCUCUUUUUGAUUCAUAGGAGUACUCAUUGCUUUGCAAUCUUCCAUAUGGAAUUUUCUAAGUAUCUCCUUUGCAUACUUUCUUUGACAGAUGAACACUUCAUCUUGGCUUUAUUUGAUCUCAAUGCCAAGGAAAUAAGACAUCAGAUCAAGGUCUGUCAUUUCGAAGACAUUAUGCAUUUCCAAUUUAAACUGAUUAACUUGAUCGAUAUUGCUCCUUGUAAUCAAUAAGUACAAAUAAGCAAGCUUUUUCCUUUGAUUUCCUUAUCUUCUUUUCUUUUUGUGCUUUAAUCUGUGCCACAGUAGGAUUUGCUGGAAGAGGUGGGACCUCGUAAUCCUCUUCUACAGGUUCCCAAAGAUCCAAAGCCUCUAUGUAAGUCUCCAUGCGAACUGCCUACAUCUGGUAAUUGUCUCCAUCGAAGACUGGUGGUGCAGCAACUGAAAAACUGGACCCUCCUUCCAUAUUAACACGCAAAUAACCUAACAAAUCCCUCAAGAAAAUAGCUCUGAUACCAAUUUGUUGGUGUUUAGAACUCGAACUUUGAUGGUUGAUCGAGAGAUUUGAAGCAGAAAGAAGAGACGGGAAGUUUUAAGUAGAAAAAUAAUUGAAGACUGGAAUAUAUAAUUGAUUUGCACCUCAACUAUUUAAAUACAAAAGUUCAAGCUAAAAAUAGAAAAAAAAUGUUUUAAAAAUCUGCUAAAAAUCUGGUAACAAAAUAGCAAACAAAUAAAAAAUCUAAUCUCCUAAAAUCAAGAAGAAUUAUUCAAACUUAGUAACAGAAAAAAUUUAAAUGGCAGCAAUCUUAAACCCAUGAUCUUAACAAAGUACUACUUGGAAGCCAACACCCACAAACAUGAUAAAAGUUAAUUUUGAUGAGAGUUUUGACAUGGAAGCAAGAAAUGAGGAAGAGGGUAGUUAUGCAGCAUUGUGAUGAUUUUUUAGUCUGACUAUGCAACCAUCCAAUUUAGGGUGCAUUCUCCAUUGUGGUGAAAAAGCACUUAAAGAACAUUUGGUUUUUGCACUUAAAAUGUGAUGGAAAAAUGUUUUUCCACCCAAAUACAAAAACUAGGAUAUAAAUGUUUUUGACUUUUAGCUUUUAUGUUUGGAAGUGAAAAUUAUCAAAAUAUCAUUAUUUAUAUUAACUAUUUAAAUGGUAUAUAAAAAUUAGAUUAAUUUAUAUUUUAUAUAUCAUUAUAUUAAAUUAUUUAAAUAUUAUUUAUUAUUAUAUAUUUUAAUAAUUUAUAUAUCAUCUAUUUUACAAAUAAUUUAUAUUAAUUACUUAAAAAAUAUUUGGAACUUAUAUUUCAUGUAUCAUUAUAUUAAAUUAUUUAAAUAUCACAUAAUUUAACUAAUUUUUUACUUUCCACUAUCAUGUCUAAAGAAAAGGAUAUUUUAACUUUUAACAAGAAUUUUUUGUAGCAAUGGAGAACACCAAAAAUUAAUAAACACACUUUUUCAUAGUAAUUUUCAACCACACUUUUCAACCGCAACCCUAAUGAAGAAUUAAUCCUUACUAAAGUUACCGAAGCACUAGCUUCCACCGUAGCCAUUGAAAUGGCGCUCCAAUUGGGAUUGCAACACAUUAUUAUUAAAGGAGAUGCUCUCCAAGUGGUUUCGGAGUUGAAGGAAGACAAAGGAGACCUACCAACAACCGGACCUUGAUAGCAAAGAGUUGAAUACUUGCUAAACAGGUUCAGCAAUGUAGGUUUCAACACAGGAAGAGGCAUGCUAAUGAGGUGGCACAUCAUCUGACCAAACAGGGCCUUAAUUGUUUUCCAUCUUUUGUUCAUAUGUUUGUUUUGAAAAGGUAAAACAAAUCCUCACCUAUUGAUGUUAGAACGGUUGAAUUGCUAAAAGCAUGCUGCAUGCAUAACCAUGCUUUAGGUUAGGCUUCAAAUUAAAUAAAUUUUAAAUUAUUUUUAUUUAAAUUUAAUUAUAAAAAUAAAUUAAUAUCAAUAGAAAAUUAUAUAAAAUUUUAAGAUAUUUUAUUUUUCAAUAAUAAAACGAAUCAUUCACCAAACCUAAUUCUUCAAUUUCUUUUUAAUUAGAUCACAACUCAAGCCAAGCUAACCAAUAAACACCCAAAAUCUACCAUCAUUUUCAUUUUCAUUUUUUUUUCUUUUGUGACAAAGUAGACAGAAGAUUCGGUUUGGAUAAGCUCUACGUUAUUAAGUCAAAAGCUGAAGUAAUUUUAAUCAUAAAUUGUUUUAUUUGUCUAUAAUGCAAAACAAUGACCCAGUUAGUACAAUAAAGCUUUAACUUUGUGGAACAUUUCAGUCCAAAAAAAAAAAAAAAAAGAAUUGUGGAAAUUUUAGAGCAGUUGACCAUUUCUUCGGAAUUAGUUUUCUCACUUCUUGUCCAUAUUCCAUGUAUAUUAUUUCAAGAAAUUAGGUUUAGAAAUUUGCAUAAUUCAACCAUUGAACUAAUAAAUAUUAAACAAAAAUUGGGUGGCAAAAAAAAUCUUAUUAAAAUCAUAUACUAUUACUAAAAUUUAUGAUUAAAUUAGUGUCACGAGUUAACGGGACAUUAACAAAUUAUAUUAUUUGAGGGUAUUUUAAUCUUUUUAUUAAAAAAGAUGAUGUCUCAAAUUAACUCACAAUCUAAUCUAAUUUUUCAUUUUAAUAUUGUAAAUAUUUCAUGUUUUAUUAUUAAUUUGUUUCAAAUUAUACAUUUCAUUAUUUAUUUUAUGUUAUUUUUAAACACAUCUGUAUUCUAAGUACCUAAUUUUCACUUAUGGGUAUCAGAGGCGAAUCUAGGGAGGCUGAUAGGGGUCUCGGUCCCCUUAAAAUAGAAAAUUAUUAUUUAAGCCAUUUAGAAAAUUUUAAAAUUUUAAAUUAGUAAAUGUAAAAUUACACUUUGACCCCUCUAAAAUUAUAAAAAUUUGAUUUAAUCCUUUAAAAAUUAUAAAGAUAUAAACUAUUAAAAAUAAAAAUUUCAUUUCGGCCCUGCCUAAAAAAUUUUUUUGACUUCACCCCUAAAGUAUGAUAGAGUUUCUAGUAUGAAUAAUUUUCUUUGGAAGUGUUAAACAAACAAAGGAGUUAAGUAAACAGUAGUUUUCAUACAGAAAUAUUCGGCGUUGAUGUUUCCCUUUCGAAUAAUUAAAUUAAGACUUAGGAAAAGGGAAAACAAUGAAAAAGAAACUAAAAUUGAGCUUAAUUUAUGGAGUUGGGUUAAAAUUUUAAUAUUUAAAUAUAAAAAUUCUAAUAAUUUGAUCUGGUCCGUUUCAUCUAGCAGACUAAUAAUAAAUCUUAAAACAUAUUAUAUUUUAAUUUAAAUAAAACCAAAACUAAUACACUUGACCUACAUCUACAUGUGAUCUAUGCUUCAUUUAAAUUAGUCUAAAUUAGACGAGAUCUUGAUUAGGAGUCAUUUAUUUAUAUUAUAAGUCCCUGAAACAUGCAAAACUUACAUUUAAAAAUUAAUAUUUUUACGUUGUUGUUAGAAUAUAGGGUUUGUUAAUGUUUUCGUGUGAAGUCAGCUGUUGACAUUACCAAUCAGAUAAUGAAAAGGAAACAUGGCAAUUAUUCCAUCCUAAUUGUCACCAAAUUAAGUUAAUCCAAAAAUUACCAAACGUUUAGUACUUCAAUGGUAGAGUCAGCUCUUUCUUCUAGUCUAUCAAAAAAAGUCAAUUUAACCCCUAACUCUUGGAUGGAAAAGUUUUUGCUAUGAACUUGUUGAAGUGAAUCUCAUGUGAUAUAAACGCAUCGCAAUCUCCGUGUGUAACUAAAAAUAUUUGAGAGAUUGAAUAAUUUAAAGGGGAAAAAAAAAGAAUUUACUCCCUCCACUAACAAAUUACUCUUGCCAACGUAUGUAUGAAAGUAAACACCUUUAAUUAAUCAACAAAUGCUAAAGUUCGAGGUUUAGAAUUAAUUAAAUACCAAUAUAAAUAGUUAAUUACUUUUUUGAAAUAAGGAUAAAUCAGUUUGUGAGGUUUGAAUUUUUUGUAUCUUAACAAUUGUUCUGACUUUAGAGUUUGAAGGUUUUUUUUUUAUCCAAAUUAACCUAUGAACUUAGUAAUUUGUCUCUCAUUAAGGUUUAAAUUUUUUAUUUAUCUAAGUUAAUUCUUAAAAAUCUUGAAAUUCGAGAAUAAUUGUCAAGUUAAAAAAAUUUAGAUUUCAAUAUGAGAAUAAUCUACUAGUUCGUAACCUUAAUAUAAAAACAAUUGUUAAGUUGAAAACUUAAUUUAAAAACAAAUUCAAACCCUUCUUAAGUUUACGAUUUAACCCUUUGAAAUAUUGCGUUAACUAGUAAGAGUAAGAAUUAUUUUGUGUUGAUGAUUAAAUAAAUAUUUAAGUGGAGAUCAAGUUUUACCUCAUUUGUCAAUUGUCAGGUGAAGAAUAUAUACCCCUAAAGGCCUAUCAAAAACGGACCUAUCUCUAUCUAUAUAUCUUAACUAAUUUACUAUUCAUUUUUAAUGAAAAUCAAUAAAUCAAUGAAAACGUUAUAAAAAGAAAACUACGUGAAUAAAUUAUAUGUGUAAAAUUGAAAUAUUUCUUAUUUUAGUACAAUGGUAAGGAACAUUACAUUUUUAAGGAAAUGAUGUCAGGUUCAAACCUUAAAGAUAAUAUUCUUCUUCUUGAGAAGAACAAUCCCAAACUCCAAAAUGAACCCUUAUGAAUUAUAUAAAAAAAUUUUGAAAUAUUUCUAUAAAAUAUCAUUAAAGUUUUUUAUUUAAAAAAUGUUAUGGGUAUACUUUUACCUCUUGUAAAAAAGUCUUUCAUUUCUCAAUUCUUAUGGCAUAGUAAAUUUAUCAUUAAUUUUCAUCUUUAGGUAAAAAAAAUGGUUAUUAUUUGUGUAUUAAAUAAUUGUUAGGAUAAAUUUUAAAAUUGUAUAUGAAUUUUGGUUUAAUGUUAAUUAUAUACAUUAAUUUUAAUUUUAUGUAAUUUUAUAAAUGAAAUUUUAAUUUGAUCCAAUUCUAACAAAUUAUUAACACAGUUAUUGAUAUAACAUCAUUUUAUGUUUAUAUGCUAUAUACAGAAAUAAUUAUGUUUAUUCAAUAUAAAAAUAAAUUGAUGUAUUUAUUUCUUUAAACAUAUAUGAUUGAAUCAAAAUUAAAACAUCGUGUAUAUAUUUGAACCACAAUUAAAAUUUUACAUAUAAAAUUACAUAAAAUUACAAUUUAUAUACGUAAUAAACUAAAAUUCAUAUAUAAUUUUAAGAUUUAUGUCCACAAUUCUCUAAAGCUAAACGGUGAUGAUUACCAUGGAAAUUCAAUGUACUUAACUAAUUGGUUGAUAGGAACAGGCAUGAUGAAAUCCAUGAUGGGAAGAGAGAGAAUUCAAAAACUGGAAUGCCCCCAUUAAUCCAUGCAAAUAAACUUUUUCGGUAUUACAUCAUAAUUCAUUUAAUUUUAUCAUCAUCUCUAUGCCAUAACCAUGUUUAAAGUAAAAUACUUAUAUAAAUUGAGACAUUAAUAGUUUGUAUUAUAUAAAUUAUGACAUCCAUAUAUCCAUAUUAUAAUUUUUAUGAAAAAUUAGAGCUGGCAGAUAAAAAAUGGCUUACUGAUCAAUGAAAAAUAAACUUUAUUUCUUGUAAAUUGACUUAUCCUUUUAAAAAGUAUAAAUAUUUUUUUAAAAUUCAUUUAUGAGUAAUUUUAUUAUUAUAAAAAUUAAUUUUGCAAAGUCUAAUAUUAUUAUAUUAAUAAUUUUAUUUUAAAACUAUUUAAAAAUACUAAUAUCAAAUAUUAUAAUGUUGAAUCCUAGUAACAUACAUAUUAAAUUAUUUAAAUUAUGUAAUAUUGCAAUUUUAUUUUAAUACUAAAUUUUAACAACAAUAAUUUUAAAUUUUAGAUCAUAUUUUUAAUAUAUUAUUGAAAAAUAUUUAUAUUAAUAUUUUAAUAAUAAAUAUAUAUAUUAAAAUUUAUAAAUAUUUAAUAAUAAAUGUUUUAUAGUAUAAAAUAUGAAUAUUUUAAUUAUAUAGAUAUGAGCAUUUGUUUAAAUCAUGUUUAGUUUCAUUUAUCUCCCAACUAUAAUGUGUUAUUAUACACCGUCAUAUAUAUAAUAUAUGUAAUUUAAGCAUUGUUUAUUAUUAAAUUUAUAUAUGAUAUUAAUUAUUAUAAAAUAUUAUCUUAUUAUAAAAGAAAUUCUAAUUAUCAAAAAGAAAUGUUACUUUAAUAUUUUGUAACAAGUAUAUUUAUGUUGGGCUUGUUUCAAUAAUAACUUUAAAAUGAUUUUAGAAAAAAAAUUGUCAAAUAAUAAAAAAAUAUUUUAAGCAAAAUAAUUCAAACACAAAAAACUAUCAACUUUUCCAUAAAAUCAAUCCAAUUUUAAGAAAACAUUUUGUGAAAAUUGUUUUAGGUAAAACAAAAGGAACCUAUAUUUUAUAUAGUAUUUGAAAAGUUGUUGUAUCUAGAAUUAUUAUCUUAAAUAUUUUUUUAGGUCUAAUUUUAAAUUUCAUCCCUUUAUGAAAAUUGAGAAGUUAAAUUUUCUAUUUUACUUUAUCAGUCUGUGCUUGAUUGUUUAUUAAUUUGUCGUGUAUAAAUGGUUAAAUUAUUGAUUUUUGUUAAUUACUAGCAUGUAAAUUGUCAAACUACUUGUUCUCAAGGGAACGGUAAAGUUUAAUAGUAUUAUCAAUUUAGAACAAUUUUUGAGUUUUUUCUUUUAUUUUUCAUGUUCGAGUCCAUAAUUACUCCUUCUAAUAAUGUCGUCUUUAAAGUUUGAGUUCGAAUUCAAAUUCUCUUUUUGGAAGUACAAUAUGCCUUAUAAUUAUACCUAAUACUUUUGAUUUUUGUAAAAUAUAAGAAUCAAAAUUGUGUAGUAGGAUUAAUUUCUAGAUUUUUUAAAUUUAAAAUUUAUAAUAUUAUCAAUCGCAUCACACACAAAACCAAAGAACAAGAGAAUCUAAAAAACACGUGGACCAUUAAUUUAGGAAUGGACAUUAUAUUUUAUUAGUGGAAUAAACUCAUGCAAAAUGGUUGGAAAACACAUACAGGAUUAUAUAUACUAAUCAUUUUUAUUAUUAAGCAGAAUCGGAAAUAAAUAAAUACGAGCGAAACCACUGAAUAAUACAGCAUUGAAAUGCAAUUUGUCUACAUCAUUAUUGUUCUUCACUUCAAACGCGGAGACUAGUCUAGGCUCCCAAUCUUUUGCUUUAUCUCUCUAGAUAUAUCCUUUUCAAACUAUCUUUUUGUAGCUUUAUUUGCAUCACAGCAUUAUCUUUUCCUGCAAACAACUGUUCAAUGAUUAAAACAUGCAAAACAUUCUGAAAUAAUGCACCCUUACCAGAUGACAAAAAAAAAAAAAGAUUCUAAUGUAUCUUACCUUGGAUUGGAGCACGGUCAAAGCCGUGGCUUAGUAGUGGUGAGGAGGAGGGGGUGAAGCGUAGACAUAAUGGGGUGGUGGUGGUGGAGGAGACUUGUAUUUGUAAACUGGAGGAGGAGGUGGUGGAGACUUGUACUUGUAAGGGUGCUUGGGGGGUGAUGGUGGGGGUGGUGGGGGUGACUUGUACUUGUAGGGGUGCUUGGGUGGUGACGGUGGGGGUGGGGACUUGUACUUGUAAGGAUGCUUGGGGGGUGAUGGUGGUGGUGGUGGAGGUGACUUGUACUUGUAGGGGUGCUUGGGUGGUGACGGUGGGGGUGGGGACUUGUACUUGUAAGGGUGCUUGGGUGGUGACGGUGGUGGUGGUGGGGGGGACUUGUACUUGUAGGGAUGCUUUGGUGGGGAUGGUGGUGGUGGUGGUGGGGACUUGUACUUGUAGGGAUGCUUAGGUGGUGAUGGUGGUGGUGGUGGAGACUUGUAUUUGUAAGGAUGCUUUGGUGGUGAUGGUGGUGGAGGUGGUGGGGACUUGUACUUGUAAGGGUGCUUGGGUGGUGAUGGAGGUGGAGGUGGUGGAGACUUAUACUUGUAAACUGGAGGUGGUGGGGGUGGAGACUUGUACUUGUAAGGGUGCUUGGGUGGUGACGGAGGUGGAGGUGGUGGAGACUUAUACUUGUAAACUGGAGGUGGUGGGGGUGGAGACUUGUACUUGUAAGGGUGCUUGGGUGGUGAUGGUGGGGGUGGGGGUGGCGACUUGUACUUGUAGGGGUGUUUAGGUGGUGAUGGUGGUGGUGGUGGUGGUGGUGGGGACUUGUACUUGUAAGGAUGCUUGGGUGGUGAUGGUGGUGGAGGAGACUUGUACUUGUAAGGAUGCUUGGGUGGUGAUGGUGGUGGAGGUGGUGGAGACUUAUACUUGUAAACAGGAGUUGGUGGGGGAGGAGAUUUGUACUUGUAAGGUUUCUUGUGUGGUGGUGGUGGUGGAGGAGAGUAGAUCGGAGGAGGCGGUGGGGGAGACUUGUAAUGGUAGGGUGGUAGUGGGUUCUUCUUAGGAGGUGGUGGAGGAGAAGAAUAGGUGUAAUCUGCUGAGGUUUCAAAAGGCAAACUGAGAGAAACUGCUAGAACUAAAAGAGUGACAAAGAGAGAGGUCAUUGAUGACCCCAUUUUCCCCAUCUUUACUUCUAAAAAUGGGUUUAAUUUG
rnacentral:lncRNA from 1 species